CACAAGCAAUAUUGCUUGCAUUGACUUGCAAUCAUGCUAUCAUCAUAUACGACGCUGCUUUCGAAGUCUGCAUCCAUUAUGAGCUUUUCGAGUUGUAUCUUCGAUAUAGACAAUUGGAUUUUGAUCAUUGCGAGAAUUCGUAUAACCAUCUCUGAAGCUCAAAAUUGCUUGCUUCUUUUUCUUGAAAAAGGUAGAUCCAUUCACUUUAACCACGAAUGAUUUCAAUCCCGUAUUCUUGGCAAGUCGCCCGACAUGCUCUGCAGCUGUAUCAGCAGAAUAUUGAGUAAAUUUACCCCCUAAAGAUCCUGACGAAGCUGACGUGAAGUUAAUCAGAGAGACCCAUAAAACGGUGGUUACUGAGAGACACCCAACUUUGCUUGAUUGAGUUUGUUCGAUAGAGCAGUACGGAGAGAACAGCGAUGCUGAAAUGAAAAAGGAUGCAAGACCCCAGGGCUAUGUUAGUGCGUCAAAUUAAAUAAAAAUAUAUAUAAUAAUUACUUAAAAUACACAAACUUGGAUAGCGUUUCAGAGAAUGCUAUACAACUUUUAACUUAGAGAGCGCUUUCAAGAAGAACGUUGUCCAAGUAAUAUAUUUUAUUUUAUUUAUUUUCAAUUUUUUCAAUAACACCUUACAAAGCGUUUUUUUUCAAAACGUUAUACAAGAACCCAACUUGCAUAGCAUAUACAGAAAAACGCUAUGUAAGUAGCGUUUUCUAAGUCCAUAUUUGUAGUAGUGAAACUUUCCUCCAAUGGCAUCUUUUCCAUAUCCCACAGCGCAAUCAGCCAAGGCUCGCCUGUUGGCAGCCCAAUUGGCCUUGGCUCGCCAGCAUGAGUCUAUUGUGUUCAUGCUUUUUUUGGGUGUGUUGGUGUAAGGUUGUGUAGAGUAGCUAUCUUGCAAGGUUAGUGUAAAGCAGGUUAGGAGAGUGAAAGCUAAUAAGAGGAAAGUUUUAGAGGCCAUUACUAAUGAAUUGUAAGAUUUGAGCUAAGAUACUUAAAUUGAAAGAUUACAAAGAAUGUACAUGUCUUUAUAUGCCAUACUAUCUCUACAUAUUUUACACACGUUGGUUGACAUAUAGACGUGCUUGCACGAGAUUAAUUUAGUAGUACUGUGUACUGAUAGUAGACUUUUGUACUAGCUUUGCUCCAUAGAGACCCUAACUUCAUCUGUUUCCUUUUGAUUCAAGCAAGCACGCCGGCGAACAUCGAACGUGUGGAAGUAUACUCGUCUGAGAGGGAAGUCAACAUAUAUAAUUUUAAAAUGGAGAUUACUUUUAGCUAUUCGGCAGCAGUUGACUUCAACUUAUAAACAAUUUGAACCGACUCGUUGUGCUGCUAUAUGUAAUUUUAUACAUGAAAGCAUUUAAGUGAACGGCCUUUUUAAGUUUGUACUUUUUAAAUAUUUAUAAACUUAAACAAAAAUACACACGUAUUCAUGAGCCACAAUUAUUCUGUUCAUAAUCAAACAGCUGUGAUUCCGACGAAGAAAUAUAUCACAAAAAACCCAAUCCGAAACACUCAAAAAUAGGUAUCUGAAGUGUAACGCUAGUCACAUUAAGAAAAUAUAUGUAGCGUUUAGCUUACAAUGAAUGGAUAUUAAUUUUGUAAACUUUAAUUUAUAUAUUUAAAUAAUAAUUAUAUUGUUAGUUAAUAUAUACAAAUUAUUGACUAUAAAGAAAUGGGAGGAUUCGUCCUCAAUACAACACUGCUGUUAACUUUAUGAGUGAUUUUAAUAUUGUGAAUUUUUAAUAUCCAGAUAAAUUAAGUAUAAAAUAAUAUAUUAGUAGUGUUGAAUAAUGACUACAUAUUUUCGAGCAAUUAAUUCAAGUGAAUUUUCAUUUCAAGGUCAAAAUUUUAGUUAUAAGAUGAAGAGAUGAAUUGUUUAAAAAUGACACACGGCUGUGUGCGGAUAUAUAUAAAUAAACAUUUAGUAAAAUAAACAUUUACUUACAGCCUUCACAGAUAUUAAUUACUUUAGUAAAAUAAACAUCUUAGUGUAGUUGCUUCAUAUAUCCAAUACCAUUUAUUUUUCAUACAACCAAUCAACCAUCAACAAAUUAAUACCUGACUAUAUAUACUUUCUUAACUAAUACACCCAUACAUGUCUUCACGAUGUUUUGGACAAUACUCCGUACAGUAUAGUAUAGAUUUGGAUCAUGACACAUCCCAUACACGCACGAACUUCCUCUCUUGCACCUCUUUUUGCAGCCGCCGCAGUUCUUCUCGUCUCUUGAAGUAUUCACACACCUACCUUUGCAACACGUCUCAUGAUAUCUGCAUUUCUUCCCACACCUGCCACAAUUAGCCUCGUCGCUCAUCACAUUCACACAUUGCUUCUUGCAGCAGUCCGGACCAGGGCUGCCCUUGUUGCUACAAACCCUAGGGUACUUGUCACAUGUCCUCCAUGCUCGUGGUCUGUCAGCCAAAAACCGGCCCAUUUGUCCCGAAAAAGAAGAAGGUUCAGAGGUUGUUAUAGGAACAUCAAGGUCUAAAUUACCAUCUUCCAUAACCGAGUCGGCGAAAAUGGUAGUAGCUGUGGCCACUAUUGCAAACAAGAUGAAGAUCUUAGACCAUGCCAUUUCUAAUAUUGCUUGAAGAUGGCUAACGAUAUAUAUGUUUUGUUGGAUAUAUGGUAGCAGUGGUUUGUGGAUGCUAGGUAAGGGAUGUUGUGAGGGUAUUUAUAGGAGAAAUUAAGUAGAUAAUUUUGGUGCCACCUUACCUAUCUUAUAAUGCUAGUCCUAAUCAGUGUUACAUGCAAGUAAAGUGAAAUUGGGCAAUAGAUUAAAUUAUGCUUCAAGGCUCGUGUGAAGUACAAAUGUGGGGGCAAAUUGACCUUGAAAAGUGGGCAAUAGGAGAAGCAUUACGAUUUACAUGAGGUCAAUAUUGCAUGCGGUACAUAGUAUAUGUAUCAUAUUGUUCUUAAUUAGGUCUUGGUUAGGAUUUUGGUUGUAGUGAAAAACUCGCUUACGGUUUCAGAUGAUUGUUCUUGAAUCAAUGGUAUAGAUGAUAUGCGCCAUGCGGUGUUAAUGUGAAAACUUGCGGUUGGGAUCAUGCUCCGAAUUCAUCUUCCUCGGUACUCAAUUCCUCCGUUUCUUGGUAUUUCUCCUUUUGAUUUAUUUAUACGCAGAUAAAUAAAUAUUACAAAAAGGAUUAUUUUUGAUCGACAAUCUUCAUCGUGAUUAUUUUCUAUAAAAAAACAGUUAAACGUAAAAUUGAUCGAAAAUAUAAUUAAUUUUCACCGGGAUUUAAUGGGUUGUCCAUACCAAAAAUUUCCCACUCACUGUUUUGGUCGAAAAUAUAGUCCGUCGAAAUUGAUUUCUGGACGGAAAUUUUACCGCCUUCUUCAAGCAAAAAUUUUUUAAAAUGAUUUAUUUGAAUUUUAAGACGGCCACCGAUUCAGGUCAAAUUUUAAAAAACCUUGGGCAUAAUUGAUCAUUGCGGAAUAAAUUUUAACUUUCGAUUUGAUUAAAAAAGGAAUACAAAUAAUGGGAUGUGUUUAUGCCAUGCCAGAUGGAUAAGUUGUAUAUAUAUAAUGGAGAAAGUGCUAUUAUAAUUAUAAUUAUAUUUUGGAUAUAUUAGUCUCUUGACUUUUUUGCAUAUACUUUUAAGAGUUUUGACCGCACACUUAAAAUUGUUAUUUUUAAAUUUUUUUUUUGUGAAUAAAAAUAUCAAUGACAUAUUUUUAUUCACAAAAGAAAAAGUUUAAAAAUAAUAAUUUUAUUAGUACGGUCAAAACGUGCAAAAGUCAAGCGACUAUUAAAUCCGAACAUAGGAGUAUAUCAUACGAACAGGAUCUUAUUCUACAAAUUGCUUGUCUAAUACUCCCUCCGUCCCACCAGAUUCUUUACAGUUUCCUUAUUUGGCCGUCCCAUCUAUUUCUUUACAUCACAAAACUUUCCUAAAAUAGUUAAUGGGUCCCACCACUUUCCCACUUUUUCUUCCUUUUCACACUACUUUUACUCCACCAACUCCCUUUUAUAUAUUAAAAAUCAAUAGGUCCCACCAUUUCACCUACUUUUCCUUCUCUUUUCCACUACUUUAUACAUAUUUCUUAACCUCCGUGCCCAAACCCAAUGUAAAGAAUUGGGUGGGACGGAGGGAGUAUGAUAUUUUAAAAAAAAAAAAAACCUAAUGCUUGGUGUACUUUCUGCAACUUGACCAUACAAUUCAAAUUCAGUCGACCGUACUGACUCGGACCUUUUUCUUUUCAUAGUUUUCUUAUGAAUUUAAAAUCAAAUCUGUUACAUUAGCACUCUACCAGCUCUGUGUAAUUACGAAAGUUAAGAUGGUAUAGCGUUCACGUCUUUACUGCCUCCAUAUAGUUUGACCAUACCUUCGUCAACUGUUAAAGUUUGGUUUAGUUCCAGUACUGCAAGCAGUUUUGAGUUUAAUGCGUUGCUGUGAAUUUGGUGAGAAGCUAGUAUCGCUAAAUACUUCUUUUACUUUUUUUCAAAGUUUUCGUCAAUGCAGAGAAAUUAAAUGAAAGUUAAGCUAAAAUCGUAAACAAAGCAACAAAUAGAGAGAUAACUAUAUUUGAUACUGUAAAAACUCUGGGGAUUGAACAUUAAAGUGUAAGUUUGCUGCCGAACGAUAAAUUUGAUGUUUUUUUUCUGCUUAAAUAGUGUUUUAUAUAAUGCAUGCCGAAUUCUCUGUCCUUUUCAUUAUGAACCUGCAGGACUGAAAAUCUCUGCAACUGUAUCUGUUCAUUGUUCUGGAUAUGCGUGGAAGAUAAGAAAGAGAAUGAAAAUUCAAGUUAAGUUGUGGCGAUGAGGAACUUACCAUUUGCAGUGGUGCAGUUUAUCAGAGUGAAUAAAGCAGCUCAGCAUGUUCUGAUAAUCGAAGUUCACUCAUGCAAAUCUACUUGUACUAGAAGCAAUGCACCUGUACUAGUUCCCUCAGUGGUUAAUUAGUUACAAGGGAUAUCAAGUAGUCGAUUAGAAUUGUUACAUAUAAGUUGUAUGGAAUCUCAGAUGCACAUGAAUGUAUCAGUGAUUGUAUACAUCGUUGACGAUAAUUAUAACAUCGCAAGCAAACAACUAGAUGCAUACCGGAUUCAACAACUCACCAUAAGUUGGCCCAAAAAUGCUAGCAAAUUGGUAUACAGUAGUUAUUUGCCUGUACUCUUUAGCUCGAAAAUUCUGUUUGUCCAAACUAUUCCUAUCUUUGAAGAGUAAGAGUCGAAUUCGGAUAUUCUGUUUAUCUAAACUCUUCCUAUAAUCCUAUCCAGUGAAUUGGGUUGUACAGUCAGUCAUGUCUGUUUAUCAUAACCACGAAUGAAGUAUUUUUGAUCGAUAUACCAACCACAAUCGACGCCUAAUAACAUAAAUACUUUUAUGUCACCGAUCUCGACGCCUUGGCUGUGAAUCGAAAAGGCUGUUCAUCAGAAACGUAAUUUUGGAUGUAUAAUUACAAUCUGACUCUUUCAAAAAGCAAUCAAUCAUCACUAUGAAAGAAGGUAAGCCAAUAGAAAUCAUUCAAAUUCAUAAAUUUUGGUGCUUAGUGUGUGCCCAUGGGCACACCAUAGAAAAACCGUGUUUUUAGUACGUGGUAAGAAUUACACACACUCCGGAUGCGAACACCCUUUAUUUUUCAUACAACAAUCAACAAAUAUCCUGACUAUAUAUAUACUUUCUUAACUGAUACACUCUUACACAUCUUCAUGAUCUUCUGGACAAAUACUAUACAUAUUGUAUAGUACAUUUUGGAUCAGGCAUAGCUACACAUCCCAUACACGCAUGAACUUCCUCUCUUGCACCUCUUUUUGCAGCCGCCGCAGUUCUUCUCGUCUCUUGAAGUAUUCACACACUUACCUUUGCAGCACGUUUCAUUAUAUCUGCAUUUCUUCCCGCACCUGCCACAAUUAGCCUCGUCGCUCAUCACAUUCACGCAUUGCUUCUUGCCCCUGCCACAAUUAGCCUCGUCGCUCAUCACAUUCACGCAUUGCUUCUUGCAACAGUCUGGACCAGCGCUUCCCUUGUUGUCACAAACCCUAGGGUACUUGUCGCAUGUCCUCCAUGCCCGGGGUUUGUUAGCCAGAAAACGACCCGUUUGUCGGAGAAAAGAUGAUGGUUCAUUAGGACUUAUGGCAACAUCAAGGUCUAAAUUAUCAUCUUCGGUGGUCGUGGAGGCAAAAAUUGUGGCGGCCAUCAUUACCAGAAAGAUGAAGAUGAUCUUAGACAACUCCAUUAGUUAUUUUUAAAGACCUGCAGAUGCUUUGGUGCGGGUAUUUAUAGAAGAAAAUAUUAAUGUAGCAGCUGGUUUAAUUUGAAUGCUCUCUGAGGUAAAUGGUGAGGGUAUUUAUAGAAGAAAACAGGUACAUAAACUGUAAGAAUUUGGUGCAACCUUACCUGUCUUAUAAUGGUAGUCAAAGUCAGUGUUACAUGCAAGUAAAGGGAAGUUGGGCAAUAGAUUAAGAAUUACUACAUUUUAGGUCUCAUUUGAAGUACAAAUGUGGGGCAGAAAGGCCGGAGAAUAUGGGGCAGAGGAGAAGAAUCAUAAAUCUAGAUUAACUCAAUAUUGCGAACUUGCGGUGCAUUGGCGGCGUGCGGGUUAAUCUAUCUGUGUUUUUUAUUUUACAAUGCAGGCAGUACUUUUUUGAUGGGUUAGAGUCGAACCCGGGUCUGCCGAGACAAUAGAGGAUAAGCCCACCAUUUGAGCUAUCCAAUCGCUCAAUCUUUCUAUGUUUUAAUCAAAGGAAAAUUGGAAAAUAAUAUUUCUUAUGUUCCUGUUUAUAUUACGGAAUGAGAAUUCGACGUGUUUUAAUAUUUUCUAAAUAUAGUUUGAUAAAUUUAUUUUAUAUUAUUUUUCAAUAAAAGUUUAAUAUUUAAAUAUUUUUUAUAAAAAAAAAUUAAUAGAAAAAUUUAUGAAAUUAUAUUUUAUAUACACGUCAAACUACGUGUCAAGCAGUUGAAGAAAACUGUAAAGAAAUUUAAAGGUACCGAGAGUUUAGAGCCGUUAAUAUGAAAAUCAAACUUGCUCGACGGUUGAUAUUUAAUUAGCUUAGCAGUUAAUGUGAAAAUCAAACUUGCUCAACCGUUGAUAUUUAACUAGCUUAAUUUUAUAACUUAUCAGUAACAGGCUCAUAGCGUCUGGUAUUCUUUUAAGGAUAGUAGAUUCACUGACAAUUGUCAAUACAUCUUGAAAUAUUUAUAUUAACUUACUUAAAUAAAUAUAAUGUGCAAUAAAUUUGUCUCCAUUCCCAAACAGGUAAGAUUUCAAAUGCUUCAACGUCAUCUUGACCCAACCUUAUUUGGAUAUCAAAAAAAAUUUAAUUUACUUUGUUUCCAGGACAUAAAGCAAAAGAGGGUCAUAUGGAUUCUGGACAGUGAAUGUUCAAGGCAGAUGACUAUCGAUAGGACUCUAUUGAUGAACCUAUCUCAAGCAAACUUUAUCAAGAUGACAUAAACAUAAUAGUCUUCUAGUGUGUGAUGAGUAGUACAAUAUAAAGACUUUUUUACUUUUGAAAAAUAGCGAGUAUUAAAAUAUUUCAAAUUGUGACUAAUUCAUUCUAUUGCGAUCUUGACAACUUUAGAGUUUCAAACAAGAAGUAAACAUAAUCAUAUUAAUGAAAAAUGCUAAAAAUAUUAGAAAAUGAACUAUUUUGAGGAAAUGAUGUAGCUUCUCAUUCUUAAAAUUUAUAAUAGUGUAUGAAUUAGCAAAACUAGAGGUUCUAGAGGAAAUUGUAUACCCAUACCAACAUAUAUUUGAAAUUACCAAGAAAGAAACAUGUUAUAUCAAAAAUAAAUAACAAAGAUAAUUUUGAAUAUUUACCUUCGGAACAAUAUACGAACUUAACCAAACUUUGUUAAGUUGAGAUUUGGUGAAUUUGAUAAAUGAACGAAUUAUCUAGUCUAACGCAAAUGAAUAUAAAGUACUAUGACAUUAAGUAUAGAGUGUAAAUUAAUAAAUUCGGGGUCAAUCACCUAUAACGCACAGUUACUGUAUAAACAUAAAGUCCAACAUACAAAUCCACACAGCUCAUAGGAAAAAAGCUCCGAAGAAAUACUUCAAUAUCACUUUGAGAGUAAAUGUCUUUCAAACAAAAAUAAAAAGAUAUCUUAAGUACAACUAGUCAUAAGAAGAAGAGAGGACUUUUAUUUCAGUGUUACAAAAGAAUUAAUUGUAUAUUUGAUUUGAUUUGCAUCCAAUUUUUGAUUUGAUUUACAUAUUAUUUUUACUUUGUGUGUUAAAGAGUCUAUGUUAACUUUUAUAUAUGUUGAUUUACAACUAUUUUGCGUAAUUAUUCAUGUAUGGACCACCAGAUAUUAUGCAUAAUCAAUCCAUAUGCAUUUAGGGGUUAGUCGAACCCCCUUAAAUUUUUUCCUUAAUUUUACAUAAUAACAUAAUGUUGUGAAACGGUAAAAAAUUCCGACACACGUUUUCACUAGAUUAGUUUUGAAUUAUUGUUCUUGUGUUUUUGUUUAAUUUGGUUUGUUGGUUGUUGGUCGCGGGUAGGGACAAUAAAUAGAAACUAACAGAGUUUUUUUUUUGUUAAGGAAAUCCAGAAAAUCGACCGACUAAGUCAUAAACGACCGUGUAUACCGUUUCAUUUUCCAGAAAACCAACCGACAAUAAUCAUAACCGACCAUGGUUAUGAUAAAUAAUGCUAGAAAACCGACCGAGUAUCACAUAACCGACCAUUGUAAUAUAUGUAGCUGGAAACAUUCUUUUUUACUGGGAAUACAUUUUUUUUUUCCAGAGUAAGUAUAACUGUAGGGUUUCACUAUGACAUCUCGAACAUAGCAGAAGAACUUGCAAUUAAGGAAGCAGUAGAGAAAAAAGCAUGUGAGGAAAAAGAGAUAAGCUUAAUGUUGAUUUUAAGUUCACCAAGGAUCAGAUGAAAAAUGGGCUGAAGAUAUUGGAAAACUAAUCAAUAGUAGUGUCACCCAAGCAUCAAAAUCGAAGAAAAAAGGUAAGACUACCUUCAACGAAAAAGGCAAGGUAGAACCAAAACAGAAGUGAGAAAGAUAAAUUGCUAAGAGAAUAUCCAAAAUUGAGUCUCAGUUUAUUUAACACUAUUCGACGGUUAAGUGUAUCUUUCAAAUACUGAUGUUAAAGUCUCAUCUGGAUUAGACUUGAAUGUCUCAUACUGAGAAGUUAGCAUGUACAAUCUGUUUUCCAUAACCUCCUCCGUUUCUUCUAUAAAUAGUUGGCAACCUAUAAUUUGAUGGCUCAUGUCAUUAUCUAUCGAUUCCACUAUAAUGAGUCGAAAGCCCAUAUUCAAUCUCAUCAUUUUUUCUUAGGCUCUGUAUAUUUGGCGGGAGUAGACCUUUGAAGAAUCCUAGCUACUACCAGCUGUAAUAGCUGUUUCCGGAACUAUUUUCAUUAGAAUAAAUGGACCAUUCUGAAAAAUUCCUAUAUAUAUUGGAUCCCAAGCAAGUUAUUUUUUUUUCCUUCAUAAAUUGUAGUUCUGUCUGUCAAAAGGUAAAGUCUUGAUACUACUGGUCUUCUGGUCACUCAUGACUAAUUAAUCAAAUAUUAAUUAAAAUUCAAAAAUUCCAAGGAUUGAAAAUUUUAAAAAUUUAAAAUUUUGAUUUUAUAAUAUAUAAGAUGACUUUAAAAGAUAUUUAAUUAUUUAAUUAAUAACUUUUAUACCUGAAUAUCAAAAAAUUUAUCCAAACACAUAAAUUAUAAUUUCAUUUUCACAUGAAGCACUUUUUUAAAUUAAACAAAACAGUCCAGAAUUAACCUAAGCUUUAUUAUUAUUGAAGAAAGGUGUUCAAAACCUCUGCCGUGAGGAGGAUGAACUUUUUGCAAUCUGGUCAUGUGCGACUAAGAGCAAGUCCAACAGUGUUCUAGUUGGAACCCUAAAUAUAAUAUAAAAAAUUAUGUCCUAAUAGUUUAGGACAUAUUCAACUAACUUCAACUCCAACAAUAUGUCUUAUUUUCACUAUAUGUUUAAUAUUUUAAUAUUAAAAGUUCACUUUCAUCAUUAAAACAUAAUAUAAAAUAGAGAGAGAAAGAGAGUGUUGGUAAAAAUUUAUUAUAAAAUAUGGGAUAGGGCAAGGAGAGAGAGUGCCUCAAAAAUAGGAUUUGAAUGGGUUGUCCUAGUGAUAUAGGGCAUCACUAGGACAUUGUUGGAUCAAAUUUUUUCAUAAAAUGCCCUAUAUUAUGAUUUAAGACACCAAAUAGGGCAGUUGGACUUGCUCUAAGAACCCAGGUGCCGGAAUUUAUAAUUGUGAAUUUAGGUUCACCAACUCUUAAACCCCGCGUUAUAAUAUAAAGAAAACAUUGACUUGCUUCUUUAACAUAUUUGCAUAUUUCUUCGUCGAUUAUAAAAUUCCCACCCGAAUCAGUUACAUAAGCACUGAAGCAGUGUUGCCAACGAAAAUACUACGGAGUAGUAAGCGACUAGCGUUCACGUUUCUCCUGACUGCAGCAUUUGGCCGUUUGACCAUAUCUUUGUCAACGAGUAUAUAUAUAGUCCUGUUAAUAUUUGGUUUAUUUCCAAUAUAAUGCACAGUCUUUGAAUAUUGAGCAAUUAUCGGAAAUUUUCGUAAUUUCGUAUAGCUCAUAGCGUCGCAAUCAUAUUCCGUCACGGGUUAAUAAUUUUUUUACAGAGAUAAACGAUAAAUAUCUACGUUUACAAUACUUCCACUGAAGUUUAAUUGAUACUCAACAUCUUCUUAUUUUCAUGUUUCUAAUCAAACACAAAAUGUGAAUAUAAUCCUAGAACUCAAUGGUAGCAUAACAUGCUUCUUUCAUUUUAAAAUAGGGUUCGCUUUAUAUUUAGAAAACACAAAUUUUUAUAUAUUAUUUUUCAGAUUUAUUUUUUUGAAUAAGAUUUUAACCUCAAUAUUUUAUAAAAAGAAUAUUGAAUAAUAAUAUCGAUAUAUAAUAUAUAAGAAUAUACUUUUUACAUCUCAAAUUACGGGUAAAAAUUCAACGUGCAUAUUAUUUUAGAACGGAGGAAAUAUAUUUUACAAUCCAAAUUAAUGACCUCAGAAAUAAAAAGUCGUUGAUUGCUCAACCUUAUUACUCGAUAAGAAUGGAGGAAAUAUAUUUUACAAUCCAAAUUAAUAACCUCAGAAAUAAAAAGCCAUUGAUUGCUCAACCUUAUUAUUUUAAUAAUUCCCGGAGUGAGUCAAAGUCGAACCUAGGUGUACCGGGGUAACGAAAGAUAAACCCACCACUUUGAGUUAUCCGAUUGUGUUGUAUGAUAUUGAUUUAAUUUGUUUUGCUGUAAACUUAGUUGGCUCCCACUAACUUGAAAUCUUAUAGCUCACGUAUAUAAAACUAAUAAUAAGUUGUGUAUAUAGUUUAAUUUUAAAUAUAUUUUUAAGCCAUAAAACAAUGUUCUUUGAAAUCGGGUACAGCUUGCUACUGUCUAGUGUCUAGUGGUACAUUAAUUUAUAGUGUUGAAAAGAACUCGGCUUAAAAUGAAUCGUUGAUUAGUUAAUAUGAUUACUUAUAACUACAAACAAUCAACACAAUUAAAUCUCACUCUACAAUCUACAAGCAUGUCGACUCUUUUGUAUUUUUAUGCAGCAUUUACGUUCUCCCGAAAUAUUGACCAUGCAAUUAGCUAUUUCCAUUAUUAAAAAAAAUAGUUAUUUUUGAUCCCCAAAACUAGUUCAAAAUACAAUAUUUAACCGUUUAGAGUUCGAACAAAAAUAAUGCGGACCAACUAGUAUACGGUCGAAAAUAAUUACGUUCGAAAUUGCCGGUCGAAAAGCAUGAAUUCAUGCAUAACUACACAUUCCAAACACACAAACAUCUCCCUUCUUGCACUUGUUAUGACACCCACCACAAUGCUUUCUAUCAAACGACGCAUUUACACAUUUCCCAUUACAACAUAUUUCACUGUACUUGCAUUUUUGCCCACACAUUCCACAGUUUAGCCUGUCCUCCUUGACAUUUACACAUUUUUUCUUGCAACAAUCCGGCCCGGCACUGCCCUUCACUCGACAGACUCUUGGGAAUUUGUUGCAAGUGUAACUAGAUGGCAGACGCUUAUUUCCUCGAAAGCGUCUGGAUCUACGUAAGGAGGAACUCAUGGUAGUCUCGUGGAGAUCGGGUAGUAUGAUAGUGUCAUCGGCAUCAGAUAUUUUCGCGGUGACAUUAUGCGAAUGGGUCUGAUCUGAUGAUGCAUGUGUAAAUGUUGUACAUAUUGUUGCUAAGAGAACAUUGAAAAAGAAGAGUUUGAGAUGAUUCAUUCUUUUUGAAUAUGUAGAUGUGGGAGUUUGAAGAGUUUAGUGUAGAAAAUAAAGAGAGGAGAGGUGAUUUAAAUAAUUUUAGUAUGAAGGGGUUUUUAUAAGGUUCUCCACAGAGUUGACAUCUAAGAAGUUGCAAGUUGUUAAAAGUUUGGUGAAAUGAAUAUAGAACAGUACCUUAUUGUACGAGUUCAUAUUGAAUUCAAGAAAAAAAAAUUGUAGACUUGCUGUGAUACCCGGAGGAUUAGGUGUCCUGUACCGGACACGGCCCAAUUCUGCAAUUCAAUUUAGUGAGACAAAAUCUAAAUUAUCCAAAAAUCAUCUAAAAAUGACAUAAAUACUCAAAUUUUAGUUUUAUUCAAUUUUAAUUGAUUUUAGCUUAACCCGAAAUCGACAUGUUUAUCGACAUGAACAAGAUUUGUUAUCAGAAAUUAUCGGAAUUUCUUAAUUGUUUCCUUCUUUCAAAAUAUAUAUUUCAAAUCUUAUAUUAGAAAUUCUCAAAGUUAUUACUACAACUUUGCUGCAAUGUAGUCUUGAUGAGAAUUUGCAGAGGAAUAUAAUAAGAAAAUUCAGUUUUGAAAUUUGCCUUGCAAAGACUUUGAUAUCUCAUUUAUUAAUUUGGACUACAAUAUUUAACGAAAUCAGAGUAUAUAACGAAACUAAAGAAUUAGGCGGAUAUAAUUUGGGAUAAACGUCGACUUGUGAACAGGAGAUUGUGAAAUCUUGGACUGGAUAAUGGAUAUGGUAGAAACUAGAAAGGAAUGGGCACUAAAGUUUGGGUGCGAGCUGGUUUCAACUUUAAGUCAGAUGUUGACAUGGCUUCCAAAAUCCUGACGAAGGUGUUUGUUUCCCCCUCAAGUUGGUCCAUUUCUAAUACUAAUUAUAAAUUGUUAAUUUGUGUAUAAAUUCCAAAAUCCUGGAGUCAUAUGUCCAGUAUGAAGUAUUAGCUUGUCCUCCAAGAACUGCAAUUCCGGGGCUUCACUUUAUUUCUCAGAAAACUGGAAACACACUUGCUAUUGCUGCAUGCAUGCUGAUAAUGUUUAAUAUUAUGCUCAAAGGGAAUAAUAAACCUGAAAUUAGUCUGCAAGUAGCAUUUUCAUCGAGUUUUCAGCAUAAAAGAUCUCAGGGUGCUGCAUAUCAUCUUGGAGAUCAAGAUUGGAUAUAAUAAUGUAAGGAUCAAUAUCAUUUAGAGUUAGUUUACCAAGAAACUUUUACAUGAUGGUAUCAUCAAUACCAUGGCAGCUGCUUCCCUUGUGAAAAAAGAUCACAUGAAACAUUAAUUCACCAGGUAGACAGAACACAGAAAAAUAUAACCAGCAACAUAUCAAGAAACAUUAACAUAUUAAUGCAAGUUCUAAGUAGCCUCUUUAUCUUAAAAAAUUCAACAGGUACAAUAUUAAUAUUCUGUUCAAAAUAAUACCAAGCCAUCAAUUUGCAUCAACAUCUGCCAUUCUGCCUUGUCAAAGUUUAGUUUCUUCAUGAACCAUCGGACACUGUGCCUCAUCCCCACCACAAGCAAUAUUGCCUGCAUUGACUUGCAAUCAUGCUAUCAUCAUAUACGACGCUGCUUUCGAAGUCUGCAUCCAUUAUGAGCUUUUCGAGUUGUAUCUUCGAUAUAGACAAUUGGAUUUUGACCAUUGCGAGAAUUCGUAUAACCAUCUCUGAUGCUCAAAAUUGCUUGCUUCUUUUUCUUGAAAAAGGUAGAUCCAUUCACUUUAACCACGAAUGAUUUCAAUCCCAUAUUCUUGGCAAGUCGCCCGACAUGCUCUGCAGCUGUAUCAGCAGAAUAUUGAGUAAAUUUACCUCCCAGAGAUCCUGACGAAGCCCCUAUUUUUUUGUUACCCUUAGAGUCUGUUACAGUAACAAAAGCAUUGUUUCGAAUCAAUUUAAUAUGCACAAUAUCAGCAGUUUCUUUCUCAACUUCUUGAUGAGAAAACUGAGGGCCUCGGAAUCCAUUGCUUCUAUUUUCAUUCAUAACUCCUCUCACAAAGUUCAUAGGUCUCGAGUCUCUCCCUAACUCAAACUCAUUUGGUCUACCUUCAUUCGUAACUCCUCUGACAAAGCUCAUCGGUCUUGAAGGCCUUCCCGUCUCAAACUCAGUUGCUCUAUUUUCAUUCAUAACUCCUCUGAAAAAGUUCAUCGGUCUCAAAUUUCUUCCCAUCUCAAACUCAUUUGGCCUAUUUUCAUUAGUAACUCCUCUGGCAAAGUUCAUUGGUCUCGGAUCAUCCCCCGACUCAAACUCCUUUGGAGAAGCAGAAUGUAUGUAACUUCUAAAGUUUAAAGCACUGGGUAGAGAUGCAUUAUCAUUCACUUUAAGAAAACCCCACUUCAUGCCCAAGGAUCCCAAGAAGUUGGGUGAUGCAUUGGCCAGAGUACGGGCAUGAUCUUUGGAAUUCCUUGAACCUGUGAAACCACAUAUAUUUAUUUGCUACAAACAACAAGAUAGAAUAAAGACUAUAGGUUUAACAUUUAAGACCUCUGCUUUCUUAAAGUCUAUAUGUCACACGUCAAUUCUCAAGCAAGUACUAUGUUUUGUCUUUGUUAGAAAAGAGAAUGAUUUUUCAUUUUAGUCGCCUACUUGGUUUAAUUCUGCGCUAUAUUCAGUGUAAUCGUCAUUAUCCAUUCAUUAUUGCUGGCUAAGUCAGGAGUUGACUAACUGACAACUAAAUAUUCCUGUCCAAAGGAAAUAAAAAAUUAAAAAUGUUCCAAGUAUUCAGCCUUCAGGAGCCGUCAUUACCCAAAAACCCAAAAACUUGCGUCGACUUUCAGAUUUGCAGUUGAAUAAAAACUAUUUUAUUGAAUCAAAUAUGUGUGAAGCUCAACGGUUCCUGAAGACAUUUUAUUUAACAAAUCAAUACUCCUAUAAGACUAAAAAAAGUCAAAUAAAUGACGACAUUGAUAAAUUAUGACGGUUAUUAAAUAUUUUGAUCAAGUCUUAAUUAUAUAUCUAUCAUGCAAAUAAAUCUUAUAAUUUACUAGUUUUAUUAAAAAAAAUUUAAUACUCUCUCUGUCAAAAAUAGUGUGGUAUAAAAACUUUAAAAGUUAAUAAUUAUAUUUAAGUUGACCAUAAAUUAUACAUUACUUAUUUAUAGUUUAAUAAAAUUAAAAUAAAUAUUCAAGCGAACCGCAAAACCUGUAAAUACCCAUCAAAGUAAGAGUUGCAUAUUCACAAAAUUGAUAGACAUCGAAUUAAUUUCUUCUUACUCUUUAAGUUCUCAGUUCUCACCAUUGAAGCCAAAACUUAGGUAAAUAACCAGUACCUACAGAGUACAGACCACUAUAAUAGAAAGGCAUCCCAGUUACACUGCAGGGUUAGCUAAGCUUAACACUAUAAGCCUCCGUUUGCUAACAAGAAAUAUAAUUCAAAGACAAGCCAUAUUUACACUCAUCUCACCACACUAGUCCACAUGGACAAAUCUAAUCAAUUUCAACUUCAUUUCAUGUGAUUAAAACCUGUCCACAUACAUAUUUCACAACACUCAAAAUCUCGAUAUUUCGGCUUCAAGGGGUCAUCUAAAAGGCCCUUAACUCUUAUAUCCAUCUACAAAGACACGCACAUAGCUAAAACUUGAAAAUAUAAUCAAUAUUUCAAGAUUAACAUGAACAAGUUCAAGAUCCAAACUUUCGAAAUGCGGGUAGAAAUCAAAACGCGCCCAAUUCAAGAAAACUAAAAUUACACAUAAAAAUAUACACACAGGAUAUAUACAUACACAAUACAAAAAUUCACAUAUAAAUGAAGUUGGAUAAACUUACCAGAGAAAGCACUGUAGUUCUGAGAAGGAGAGUUGAGAUGAAGAGGGGUGGACUCAGAUUUGGAGCCAAGGAUCCGAGAAGCUUGAUUGAGUGACCCGACCCGAACAGAGAAGCGAGAGAUGGAGCGCGGAUAGAACAUAGCUAUGGGAAUUAGGGUUUUUGGUGAAAGCUAAUCAGAACAGAGUUGGGCAUAUUUCUAUACUUGUUCUCUGAUUUAUUUCUCACAAAAGCGAAAAAGAAAGUUGGAAUAAUUAGUUUUACACUUUACCAGUGUUAAAUAAUUUUUUCCCUGGGUCUUGUUUUUAUAAGUUCAGCUUAUCAGAUAAUUUAAGUUUAUUAAAUUUAUUAUGUUGUUAAUAAAAUAUUUUAAUAAAGGAAUUGAUUGAUUAAAAUAUAUAAAAUAUUAUACUAAUUAAAAAUUUAUAAAAAUUAAUUUUGUUUAUAAAAUAAAUGUGCCACCUAAUAAAUCUAAUAAUUAUGAAUUGCAUAUUUACAUGUCACAUUUUGAACAAUCCCAAAUUUUUAAGAUUUAAUGUAAGUUAUUAUACAAGAGAAGAAUAAAUAGAAUAUAUAUUCAAUGAAUUUUUUUAUCGUAUAUUAAAUCUUAGAUUUGAGUACUGAUAAUAUGCAUAUGAUAACUAUUUAAAUUAUAUAUAUACAAAAAUUCAACAUAUAAACUAUUGAAAAUAGAAAUAUAUUAUAGAGUACAAUAUUAACGAUCAUGGAAUUCUGUUCAAAAAGUUAAUGAUUAAUCACUAUUAAUCCAUGUUCUAUAACUUACCGAACUGAUUAAAUAUUCAAUUGAUCAAUUAAUCAUCCAAUUAAUCUCAAUGCAAUUUAAUUAAUCACCGAACACCAUAGCUUCACCAAUUAAGUCGAUUCUCGCUUCUUACCAGACUCGUGAAAUCAUAUUAUGCCCUGUUUGGUAACAUGGAUUUGAUUUCAAAUCCAAGAUUUGUGCAAAUCUCUUGUUUGGCAAAUUUUAAAAAUUCAGAAUUUGGAUUUGUUCAAUUCCAUCCAAACUUAGGGUCUGUUUGGGGGUGCUGUUAAAAAUUGCUGUGUUGUCAGAAAAAGUGCUGGUAAAAUAAGUGCUGUUGUAGAAAUCAGAUAACUGUUUGGUAAUUUUUUGAUAUUUACUUAUUUUGAGUUAUAAUAUAAAAAGUAAUAAUGAUUUUGGUGAGGUUUUAUAAUGAAAUCUAUAACAGCAUUCUGCAAAAGCUGAAAAGCAGCUUUUUCUAAAAGCAUGGGACGGCCUGCUUUUUCUAACAGCAGCUUUUCAGCUAAAAGCUGCUGUUCGGGAAAGCUGCUUUUAGAUUUACCAAACAGUUUUUCACCUGCUUUUCAGCAAAAAGCUGCUGUUGCUGUCUGCAACAGCAACCCCAAACUGUACCUUAAACACAAGUCAAAAUAGAAUAAUUUGAAAUGCCAUUCCAAAACAUGUCAUUUGAAAUAAAAAAACUAAACGCACCCUCCAGCUCCUCCUUCCCGAUCCACUCUGCUGCUCGCUCCUCUUCUCCCCUGCUUUCACGCUGCUGCUCGCUCCGGCCAUCCUUCCGUCUCCGAAGGUGCAAUUCUCCCUCUCUCCACCUCUCUCUCUCCCUCUCCCUCUCGCUCCCUCUCGCUCCCUUUCUGCCUCUCUCUCUCUCCCUCUCUCUCCCCCUCUCUCUCUCUUCCUAUCGCCCUCUCUGUAUCUCUCUUUCUCCCUGUCUCUCUUGCCAGUAUUGGAUUAUAUUGUUAUCAAUUUGUUGCUUAAUUUGAUAUUUAUAUGUAUAUAUGUGCGUGUAAUUGAUUUCAGUGCUCUGAUUUUUGUAAUUAGGGUUUAACCUUCUGUAUAUAAUCUGUGUGUAUAUGUAUAUUGUCCAGAACUGCUAGAUGGCAGGUGAUUUGAAUUCUAUCACAAAGACCUAAUCUGUUGCCUAUACAGUAGACGAGGUAAAAUCAGGUUUGGGUGUUAUAUAUUGUAAAAAUUUGAAUUAGUUGAGGAGUAAUGAUUCUCAAUUAUAGCCUACUCACUAGGUGCGUGCCUCGAUAUAAUAUUUCGGGUACACAUUUCCGAUUUGUACACAUUUCGCUCAGACUAUCUGCUACUGUAACAUACACUGUAUUCACAUAAAUACGUCCAUCUCUCCAUGUUAUAUAGACCCCUCUCAAUUAUCAUUUCACUGCUAGCUUAAGUGUUUGCGUAAUGGCAAAACGACUAAAGCUUCGCAUCUCCAGAGCAAUUACAUCUUCCUUCCAGUCCUGCCAUUCCAAAGACCCUUCCGUUUCGAAUACAAUCCAAUACUGGCAAAUCUAGAAACAUGAAAGUUGUGCUUUUGGUCAGUUUAAUUAGGAAUUUGAGCUAUAGAACUAGUUACAAUCCAAGGAGUCUCAGUACACGCAAACCUUACCUUUAGUCUCAUAAAUAAAGAGCACUUUGGAAAUAAAUGAAGGAAUAAUAUAGAGAAAUAUAUACUAAUUAAAUGAGCACUAACCCUCUUCCGCAUGAAUUCGAUUUCAGCAAAUAGAAGUUCAUUUUGCAGUUUAUAUAUUCUGAAUCAGUACUUCAACAAGUAAUUCUUAUUAGGAAAUAAUCAGCAUAUUCUAUGAAUGUAUAAGGACCUUUUUGGAGCGGACUCUGCAAAGUCCAUUCUGUAGUUUAGUUUCCAGGCCUUUAAGAUCCUUGGCUGGCAAAGACCCCAGGGCUUCGCCCAUCAGAUGCCUGUAUUAUAUGCAGAUGUUUUGAAUUCUAAAUCUAGAACUGUAUAAUUAGGUCGUUUUGUAACCUUCUUCCUGAAUUUGAAGUUUUUUCUAAGUAUAUAAUUUAGACUUAUAUUAUAAAUAAUAUGUUGAGACCUGUGGUAUUUCUGUUGCGACUUUGUGCUUAAAGAUUUAUGAUUUAAUAAAAAACCUGUGAAAGUGAAUUGAAUAAUUUUUAGAAGUCUGCCUAUGUGUCUGCCUAUGAUUUAUGAUUUCACUGCUCUCAUUUUUGUGAUUAGGGUUUAACUUUGUGUAUAUAAUCUGUGUAGUUGUCAUUUUAAAUUUCUGCUCUCAUUUUAAAAUUUUAAAUUUGUGUAUAUAAUCUGUGAAAACAUGGAAGAAACAACAUAUAUGCAAGAGGUUGAAGAAGAGCUAGAAGCUAUGGAAGCAAUUGAUGUGGAAGAUAAAGAAGAGGAUUUCAUCUCAACUGCUCGAUCUACCAAUGAGUGGACUGAAUUUAGAGAUCAACUUGCCAAAACAAUGUUUGAAGAAUAUCUAGUAGGAGGGACUGGAGUUCUAUGACUUUUAUACAUUUUUUCUAUGUGGUUCUGUGGGUUGUCAUGUUAAAGUGCAGCACGAUUUUCGCUUGCAUUUAUAAUGGAUUCAUUUGAUUGAGAAAUGCCAGCAUUCUUUCUAUUUAUUUACAUACAUACAGCUCAUAAUCUAAAGUGUGAGGGUCUGGUGUACUUGAUCCUAAACACUUGAAUCAGAAUGUUACUGGCCUCUUCUGCUGGGAAGUCAUCAUCUGAUUCAGGUAUACUUUUUUGUUCAAAGAUAAGGUAGAAUCUUUUCUGAAUUUUGAUUGUGAUAUUAACUUGUAAUUCGAAACUGUUUAUUGGGUUUUUGUUUUUAUCAAAAUCUUGGAAAUUUAUGAAAGAUGGAAACUCCUAUACUUGCUCCAUGUUUUAAUCUUUCUGCUUUCUCAGUCUUUUUCCUCAUGCUAAAGUCUUUAUGCACAUUCCAGAAUACUAUUACUUGUCGAAUCUCGAUCAGAAUAUUGCUUCAAUAAUUCAGACAGUGUAUUGUUUUAAGCCUGAUGGUGACAAGAAGAACACAGAAGGUGUUGGACUUGUUAUAAGAGAAUCUGAGAUGGUUUACAAAGCAUUCAACUUCGAUCAAGAGAAGCUAAUGAGGUUAAAGAAGUUGAUCAUGGAAGACGGGACCAUCAAGAACUGCUCCACAUUUGUGGCCCUCACGGCCUUGGUGUGGCGGGCAAGAACUGAAGCUCUUCAGAUGAAACCAGACCAACAACUCAAGCUAUUAUUUGUUGUUGACGGAAGAUCAAGAUUGGUGAAUCCUCCCUUGCCGAAGGGCUAUUUUGGGAACGGGAUUGUGCUAGCGUGUAGUGUGAGUAAUGCCGGAGAUUUGGUGAACAAGCCAUUGUGCUAGCGUGUAGUGUGAGUAAUGCCGGAUUGUGCUAGCAUUUCAGAUAUAAUUUCAGGUUUCUGCAGUAUAGUUAUCAGUGCUUGAUUAGCAUUUUUGUGUUAAGGUUGAGAUUCUUGAAUUUGGUAUUUUUGUUUGAUCAAUUAUACAUGUCUCUGUGAAGUUUUUGUAUUUUUGUUUGAAUUUUAUCUUAGACUUUAUUUGUAAUUUUGAAUGAGAUUAAAUAUCUAUCUUCAUGUAUCGCCAACUUCAAAAUAUUAUUUAGAUAAAUAUUCAAGUACGCAUUUGUGAUUAAAUUUGGAGUUAUGAUUAAGUUUUUACGUAAAAAUUUGUUUAAAUUUCAAAUUCAGCUUUUGAAAUACUAAGAUAUCCCAAACAGUGGAUUUGGAUUUCAAAUCCAGGAUUUGAAAUUCUAAUAUUCCCAAACAAUGGAUUUGGAUUUCAAAUUCUGGAUUUCAAAUUCUGGAUUUGAAAUCCUACAUUUCAAAUGAAAUCCAUGUUUCCAAACAGCACCUUAUUGGAAAUGAGGCGUGUACCAUGAGUUCUGAAAUAUAUAGCUGAAUUGGUUUUAUUUGUGCGCUUCGGUUGUGCUAAAAAGGUCCAACAGCACCUCCUUAUUCUUGUGCUAGUUUAGAAACAUCUCGUCUAUCCUCUCUCUGCAAUGGAGCUCCUCUCCCUCUCAACCCCUCUCUCCUCUCACUCUCUCUCCGCCCUCUCUCCCCAAAGACUCAAACCCAUUUCAUCUCCUUCCGUUUCCUUCACACCCAUCAAGUCUUCUCAGCAAUUAGCCUCCAAGCCCACUCCCCCAAACGCCCUCAGCUUCCAAACAAUCAAGCCCAACCCCACUCUCCACUUCACGGCAUCAGCGCCGCCGUCCCAGGCCAUGAGGGGCGGAGACACAGAUGCAAUGGGCCUCUUGCUUAAAGAGAGAAUUGUCUUCUUGGGCUCUCAAAUUGAUGACUUUGUUGCUGAUGCUAUUAUUAGUCAGCUGCUUCUGUUGGAUGCUCAAGACCCCACUAAAGAUAUCAGGCUUUUUGUUAACUCUGUUGGUGGAUCCCUCAGGUAUAUAUUUAGUUUUUGUGUAUUUUCGAUGUUAUCUCAUGUUCUUGAUAUUUAUUUCAGUAAAAUAUUUAUGGAUUUAUUGAGUCUAUAGCAUCAGACCGGAAAAUUUUGAUAGUUUCUCUGAGGUUAAGUAUACCCUUAAUUGAAAAAAGUGUUCAUUUGAUUGAGGUUUUUGUUUCUUGAUCAUACAUUCUUUGUGCUAAAGUAAGAAUCUGGAUAUGGAAGAGUUUUAAGCAAUGAUAAAAUGUAGGAUUGCGAGAUAUUUUGAAUACGCGAAUGAAAGGGGAAAGGCCUGUAAUUUUAUGGAGGUUCAUGUUCUUUAUCAAUUAUUUAAUUUAGUAGUUAUAGAUUGUAAUGAGAGUAUAAAAAUGUAAGAUAUGCAAGAUAAUUCUAAUCAAGACUAAAGAUUAAGAAGACUGGAAGAUGCUUAACUUCUAGUGAAUUAGAAAUUCGGAUAGUUGUUGAAUUAAAGCUGAAGAGUUGGUUGUGUAUCUGAUGGUAAUGCAUAGUAGUUGGUUUUAAUGGAGGAUGAAUACAGUAAAGCUAAGAAGUUUGUCUGAAGUUUAGAUUGGUACAUUAGAUCUAGGAGGUGGGGUUUCAACUUUCAGGUGGGAUUAUUUUGAGAAGAAAUAAAGAAUAACAUUUAUAAGGUAUAUUGACAUGCCAUUUGGUUGUCUUAUUAGCCAGUGUUAUCUUAGUUUGAGAUCUAGAAUAGGCUUUUUUUGGCGUUUGUUGGUUAUUAAUAAUGCAGAGUUGGUACAUAAUGGCCAUGUUUGGCAAUUGGCGGUUAGCAGUUAGCUAUUACCGGAUUGAAUGAGCUGUUUUGACUAGGUGAUUGCGGUAGCUCUUUGGACUAGCAGAUUAAAUUAGAUGGUUUGUGUGCAACUGUUUGGUAAAUAGUCGUUCACUUAGUUUUUUGCAUCUUUUUGAAAAUUAGCUUUUUGAAUCUAAACCACUAUUUCAAUCUGCUAACUACUAAACACCAAAAUUAGAUGAUUCUCUUGGUCAAAUCUCUAAUAUGACCCAAAUCUUUAAUUUCUCCUCAAACCUCUAACUUCCAAACAGGGCCAAUAUGACUAUUUUUCCUUCGUCAUAUCUUGUGGCAGUUGGUAUAUUUAUUACAUACAAGCAAUCAACUUUAUAAUUCUGCUACUAGAAUAAUAAUUCAACUUGUUGGAACUUGUAAUUUUGCAGAGGAAAUGAAAACUUUAAUUAUUGAAAACAUGAUAACAAGAUCCUAAAACUUGUCUCCAGGUUCUGGUAUCAGGGUUGAAGACUUAAAUUCUUUACAUUCUUUUCACCUUCAUAUUAUUUGCCAAUUCAAUCAAACUUCCUUUGUUUCUUACUAUUAAUAUUCAGAAUAGGCUGACAAGUUUGAAUCUGCGAGUCUUUUGAAUCACAAGUUGUAAUAUGGACUUACUUGAGUAUUUUUACUCAGAGUACAUGGUCAACAUCUGGAAGGUUAAAAACAACGAAUUGCUAUCUACAGUUCUCGAUGCUAGAGUUUCUCUUCUUUUUAUUCUUGCAUUCAUAAUGUCAAGAGGCUGGAUUGUCAAAACUUCAUAGGGCCUUAGCUUUCUUUGAUUACCCUCAUAUUUAGUACUUGUUCAGGCACAGGUUAGGCUCAACACUGUGCCAUGGCAGUGAUCCUCACAAGACACACCAUACGUAAUUUAGUAUGGGUAACUCUUGUCUAGUGUUGGAUGGAUGGUCGGUCGAUUGCGUGUGUUACUUUGCAUGAAUUGGCUACGACCUGAGGAGUCGUGAUUGGGUUCGCGGCUCGAUAUAAGGAUCCCUUUUUAAAAAUUAAUUUUAUCAAACAUUAUACACAUAUAAAUAAAUAAAUAAAUAAAUAAGCAAAUACAUGUUACUAAUUUACCAGCUAGUUUACUAAUUUACAGGUUGUAACAUCGUCAAAAUAUUAAGGCACAGUGCUUUCAGAAGCUCAGGAUCAUAGCCUUUAGUUCCAUUAUAGGCAAAGGCUAUGAUCUUGUUAAGACAAGCCAUGCAUAUUUUACUAUGGGUUACUAAUUACUAUUGUCUAAUAAGUAGUUAGUAGGGUAUUGUAUGCCCUUGGUGGUUAUCUGUGCACGUCCAAUUGGUUGUGGCUGCAGAUUCCAACAGUUGAAAAAAAGAAUUAUGGAGAAGGUAGUAGAUAAUACAUGUCGAAGACAAGUAACUAUGUUACUUGGAUACAUAUAUGGGUGUCACUUGUCACGGGUUCUGAUCCAAGUGCGAAAUUGGACAUGGGUACGAGGACUCGCAUGUUAAUUAUGCGUAAAUGAAAUUUAUAUAACUUAUGUUCAUUCUACAUUGUAUGAAAUAGUGCCUACUAAUCAUAAAUUGUGUACACCUAAUUUUAUAGGUCAAAUUCAUUGCAUAAAGUCACAAGGACUAAAUAAAUACACGACUUCGAGAUACAUUUUUCUUUAUAGGCAAGUUGUGGGGGUGGCUUAUAUUUCAUGUUGAACUGGAUUACUGUAAGGUGAGGUGCCCAGUUUCAAGUUAAAAGAUAUGUCUUGGAUCCCACAUUAUAUGUCAGCUCAACACGAAUAUGAGGAAAAAAAUAGAGGGUUCGAGUAGUGGAACAAAUCACAGAAUUUGGUCCAUAAACAAAACUGCAACCUUUGUUAGCUUAUCCAUCAAACAGUUACUUUUCAGAUUAUUUUGAAAUGAUAAAUAACUAAAUUUAGAUAUGAAUUAAGCUUAGGAAGCUAUUGCGUAUGACAGACAUCUCUUAAUACCAUUAUCUCAUAUAUCAUGUGUUAGCAGUUAUCCUACCUCUAUGUUCUUAUUGUUUACUUAUGCGGCUACUGUUGAAGUGUGCUUAGCACGCAUUUAAAUAUGUGCCAAGAACAGAUUAAUGCAUUAUUUUUGUAUCUUUGAUAUUUUUCUUUUUAGUUGGUCUUGGUGUCUUCAGAUAUAUGAAAUAGUUGUUUAAAUUGUGUCUAAUACUCCGAUAAAACAUUGAUAUAAUUUGGCGAUGGAUUAUGCUAUCUGCGUCAAUGUUUGAAUUAGACCUCAACUUUACCUGAAAGCUGGAAUUUGGAUUAUCCACAGUUAGUUAAACAUCAAAUAUUAUCCAUUUUCUUGGCAUGCCACAAUUCUAUUCAUUCAUUAAUUCGAUGUAACGAGGAAAGUGUGAGAUUAGAACACUCGAAAUUUGAUGAUGGAGGAGGGGGGGAGAGACUUGUUGCAACUAGGUUAUCAACGCAUCCUUAAUAAUACUUACUUUCAUUUCUGAUUUAUCAAUUUUAAGACAUUGAUUCAGGCACUCUUCUCAAUCGGCAUACAUCCUUGGCUUGAUGCAGCAUUGUUGAUAUUUCAGCUUCCUUUUAUGUUUCUAAUAUUUGUGAUCUUAACAUUCUACCAGUGCUACAAUGGCCAUCUAUGACGUUGUAAAGCUAGUGAGAGCUGAUGUCUCCACUAUUGCACUCGGUAUCUCAGCAUCAACGGCUUCUGUAAUCCUUGCUGGUGGCACCAAAGGUAAAAGAUUAGCUAUGCCCAAUGCCAGAAUUAUGAUACACCAGCCGCUUGGAGGUGCAAGUGGACAAGCCAUAGAUGUUGAAAUCCAAGCUAAUGAAAUCAUGCAUAACAAGAAUAAUGUCACACAAAUUAUAUCAGAAGCCACAGGUCGUUCAUUUGAACAGGUUCAGAAAGACAUCGAUAGGGACAGGUACAUGUCCCCGAUGGAAGCAGUUGAAUAUGGUAUAAUUGAUGGUGUUAUUGACAGAGAUAGCAUUAUUCCACUCGAGCCUGUGCCAGAUAGGGUGAGAGCUACACUGAACUACGAGGACAUGAGCAAAGAUCCAAAGAAAUUUUUGACUCCAGAAAUUCCCGAUGAUGAGAUAUAUUAGGGAUUAUAUUGCAGGUACACUGAAUUUUGUUUAAGAUUAUACAUUAUUUUGAACUUUUCGCCUUUUAUAGUACCUGUAACAAUUAAGACAAUCAGUCAAUCACUUUCAAAUCUGAGAGUGAACAUGAUGUCUGUCAUUAAAAAAAGUUGUAAUUUCUGAAAAGAAAUUGUUCAAAGAUCUGGAAACAGUUUUUACCUUUGUUAGAAGAAAGCUGCGUCUUUAAAUUAUUUGCAACUCAUAAUCAAUACAAUGUGGAUGCAGUAUAUUUUGUGAGCAAGCAUAUAAUCAUUGGUGUUUAUUAUUACAUUCUUUUUUACUUUUGUUUUUACUUAGACUUGUUUUCGCAAAUAUUAAAUUAGGAAAAUUAAAAUUUAGGAUAUAUAAUACAAUUUUUCUCUUUUUAUCAUGAAAAUAAUUUACUCUUAAGAAUAUUGGAAAUAUCACUUUAAUGUCUUUUUUGUAAUUCAAAUUGAAGAAAAAAGCUUCUGUGAAAUUGUUUGUGCCAAAAUACAUUCACAUCACUUAAUUGUUACGAGGAUAUAAGAAAUUUAUUGAAGUGUCCAUUUCAUGACUAGUUGACAGCCAACAACUUAACUGAAUUACAACAGCAAACGAUCAACUUAUGUCAUUAUAUCUCAAAAUUAUUGUGAUGAAUAUGCAUAAAGUUGACUGCCUGUCAACUGUAACAAAAAGAUCUUCUCUCUCUCUAGUGCAAAAUGUUUUUCUUGUGAGCUAAAUGUAAAAAAACAAAUAACGAACACCAUCAAUUAAACAUAGUUAGCUAGCUGAUAGUACUAUAUAAACAAAUUCUGUUGUACUUUUAAAAUGGCUGAAGAAGCAGACUUUGAGAGAAAAAUGGGAGGAGGCAGGGACUCGGAUGAUGAUACGGAAGUCUUCAAAUCCAAAAACCUUCAAGCAGAGAGGAGACGCCGCGAAAAAUUAAGUUCAAGGCUCUUGGAGCUAAGAGCUUUGGUCCCAAAUAUCACAAAUGUAAUAAGUAUUCCCCUUUCAGUAACAUGUUGAUUUUUUUUGUUUAGUAAAAUUGAAGUGCUUGAUUUUAAUUUUGCAGAUGACGAAGCCAACCAUUAUAACCGAUGCCAUCAGUUACAUUCAUGAGCUGAAGAGCCGUGUGCAAGAGCUUAGUGAUCAAAUUCUUGCAAUGGAGGCAACAAUUAAUGAGCAUGAACAACAAAUGGAGAGGUCUGAGGUUGAUGUUGCACAAGAUAUGAACAACUGGGGGAUUGAGGUAACAAAGUUUCUAGUGGAUUUAGCAGUAAAUAUUUAUUGUUCUUGUCACAAGCUAUAGAAAUAGGAUGGUCUAAGUUAUUGAUUUUGUUGAAAACAUAGCCUGAAGUGAAGGUGUCUAAAAUCGACACGAAUAAGCUAUGGAUAAAGAUCCUUUUCCAGAAGACAAGAGGCGGAUUUACUAGAAUAAUUGAAGCCAUGACCGUGCUUGGAUUUGUUCCAGCUGAUAUGAGUGUUACUACCUCAAAAGGAGCUGUUCUUCUUACUUCGCACGUAGAGGUAUAUCUAGUUGAAGAGUAAAGUAAAUUACUAAUACAAAUUUGAGCUGAAUGUCCGCCAUGUUUUAGAUUAAUGAAUAUUUGUGUUUCAGGUUAUGGAUAACGGAAUGCAAGGAAUUGAAAGAAUCAAAGAGCUCUUGCUUGAAGUCAUUACUACCUGCAGCUAGAACUUCUCCCAACACAAACUAUUCUGCUGUUGUUUGUAACUAAAUAUAGAACAGAAGCAAUAUCCCAUUUCUCCCCCAAUUUAAAUGGAGGAUCUCGUGGAGUUGAACUUGGUCUCAAUCUCUUUAGGUACAAGUUUGCUGGUACCAGCCCUGUCUCCAGUAGGUCUUGGUGCAAUAGCUCCUUGUAAUGCUAUUAACUGCUACCUGGUAAAGGAAUUGGACAUGAUAAACGAUUUUAUUAAGAAUUCAACAAAUAAUAUACUUGUUAUAUACCUUAAGAGCCAUUAAUACAACACUAUAUCAGGACAAACAGUUACAUCAGUAUGCCGCAGUGCAGACAUUUUUAAUCAGGUUUUACUUAAAACAAUUAUUUGUUAUUAAAAAGCUCAACUAAUUUAUGGUAAUGAUAAGUUGAUAACAACCUGUCCAGAAGCCAUAGAUGCUCAAUUUCUCUGCUGGUACCUGGAAGUCCCCUGCUGCAGCAUCACAAGAGUGUCAAGCUUUCAAAAAUGUUAAAUAGUUGUCUCCAGGACUUACCUCGUGUUUUUUGCACACAUCUCCCACAAUCCCAAUUUCCUGCCACAGAAUGAGGGUAAAUUUUUGUUUCAAAAUGUAAAUUUACCAGAGUCACUCCACAACAUUCUGUAGGUACUUUGCAAGUUUGUGUUGCUGGAAUAAUAUAUCAACUGAGAUAUUUCAGCAAAAACUGAACAUGUAAAUACUAAAUAGUAACUGUUUCUAGUCUACUAUCAGAAACAGUUAUCCUAACGCCUUAACGUGUCGGUCUUUAACUUCUUAAGAGGGCCGGUGACUUAAUAAUAAUAAUAGAUAAUAAUUUUUAUGUUUGUAUAUGUUUAUAGCGUCACAAAAACGCAAAGACCGUGCUAAAAUGCUGAGCCUGCAGGUCAGCUGUGGAGACGCCUGCAAAGAUCCCUGCGCCUUUUUAAUCUUGAGAUGAUAAACAAAGGAUUAUAAUUUGGAUGUGUUUACAUGGUACUAUACUAAGGAUUGUUGUCACUAGCAGAGUAGUACUUUAAAAUGUUGUCAGGCCAACACACCACUUAGCAUCCUGUUAGUCUGUCAUAAGUUUUUGCAAAAGGUAUCCGCUGAAAUUCACUUCGUGGACAGCUAAACCUCGUACCCGAUACACAAGGAUCCUGCAGGGUCCGGGAACUUACUAUUUCAUUCAAAUUUCAUGAAAGACUAAAUGUAAUAUACAUGUUGUCGUUGUGCGUUGUUUGUGCAUUUCUUAGUCUGCAGAAAUAUUUGUUGAUGGCUGAUGGAUCUUUGUUGUUAGAUGGGGAUAAUUUCCAGGUUAAUGAGACAGCAGGAAAGUUCUUUUUGUAGAGUCUCUGGGGUUGGGAAGGGAAUGAAAGCCAACUAUACUGGCAUUAUUUUAAGUCAUUCAGAAAUUAUAAACAGAGAAAUACCUUUGUUGCUACUGAGUGCCGGCACAGCCACGUUAGGUUGGACUUUAGUAUUUGAUAUUAUUAUUUCAUACACAGUGCAUCAUGACCUUUUCCAGAACCUGCACCUGAGCUUUCACCUAUGAUCACCUUUUAAAAUAGAAUUGACAGAGAGAAGUGGAGGGGAGGCGAUCCUUAAAGAAUGCUUUCCUUCGUUAUAUGUGAACUGUGAUCUUUGAGGAGUCUGUGGAGGGGAGGUGAUCGUCAUAACUUGUCAGCAUGACAUUUCCGUGAACAUCAGGACAAAGGAUUACUUUUUAGCAAGGACUAUAGUUUAUAUGUAGAUACCAAAUAACACUACAGAUAGGAAGACUAAAAUGAUUUUUAAGGCUUACAUCACAUUUUUGUGUGUGUAUGUGGUGAAAGCUCCCUCUCAACAGCUACUUUAUUUAAUCUUACAUAUAAGUAAAAAAUUGCAGCAGUCCCUCUCAUGGCUUCCAUCACUCCCUUUUUCUUAAUCCACCUACUCCCAAAGAGUUGAUUGUUGAGAACCAGUCCAUCUAAAACCUUAAAAUGUCAGAGAAAGAGCUCUGAUAUUAUGUUGAGAACCCGUCCAUCUAAACCUUAAGGUGUCAGAGGAAGGCCCCGAGUGGAUCUUAUGCUAUAUAUCAACAAGUUUGUAGGUAUUUCAACUGAAAUACACACAUCUGUGGGAUUAAAUUAUAUGACAAUAUAAAAUUCUUUCACACGUUAUUGACCCGUAUUCUUGGUUACUUGAUCAAGUGCCCUUGUGGAGUUGAGUGCAAAGAAAGAGUCCUUAUUCUGUUGCUUGAAGAGGGAAAUAAGCUUCUUAUAUCAGCAGAAAAUAAGGGUUUAGUAGAACAGCUCGCGCUUUUUUAGUGUUCUAACUAGUAAGUACAUAUGGAGGACAGAAGGUACUCCGAUUUAUAUAGAAACUCAACUGAAGAGUUGUUUAUAAAGACCUUGAUGGAGGGAUCAUCUGGUAUGCCAGUGCCAACAAUGGAUAUGCUAGGUUUCAAGAAUCUUUCUCAAAACUUCAGAGUAGAUAGCGAGGAACUCUUCAAUAGCUGGCUUACAAACGGAGAGGCAAGAACUUGUGCAUAUAAUUAUCUCUAGUAUGCAUUUUGAAUUAUCUUUAGUAUAUUUUGGUCUAUCUGACUAUCUUGAUUACAUAACUGACCUUGAUCUGUUUUCUGUUCCUUUUCAGAAUCAAGUCAAUAAUUCAGCAGGCAUAGCUCAUCGAACUCGGCAAGCAUCACGAAGGUUUGUCACUUUGAGAGUCUAGAAUUUUUUUUAAUGAACUUUGCAGCAGCGCUUAGCAUAGAGUAUUUGACCUUCACAGUGCUAAACCCCCACACCUUGACAUAUACACUAUCUGUUUUAUUUUGUUUUCAACUUUUCCCCUGAUUUAGGCUGUUUCAUGACCACAUUCACAUUCCCUUCAAAUCUUUCUGAUUUGCUAACAUAAGAUUAUGUGUUAUAUAGCUCUGAUACUACAGAAAUUUCUGUUUUUGUUUGCUUAUUACUCCCUUUUUUGUAAGUGCCAUGUGUUUCGCUCUAUUGAAAUGUUUUUCAUUACUGGAUAGGAGAUCUAAUAGUCUUCAAUAACUAGUAACUGCUGAAUGAAGACUUUGAUUUUGAUAAUGCAGAAUUACCUCUGAAUUGCCCAUUCUGCCAAAUCAGCACAAUGCAGCAAUACCACAGAAAAGAAGCAAUGAGAACCCAACACUGGAACACGCUUGCAUUGCUGAAGAAUCUUUGGACCAUUUCAAUCAGCAUCCUACCAGGUAGCUUGUUCUUGGCCUGCAUCAUGCAUUCUUCACCAGUGCAACAAUUUUGACUGAAUCUAUGUAUCCCCUCUUUAGUUCUCUUCUUGUUUACAAUAUGAGCCCACCUUCUUGAAUAACCAAAUGAAUCCCCUUUUUAACAGCAGUGUGGUGGAGACAGGGGCACCAGCUAGUAACCUUUACUUGGCUAAGGUCUGUUUACAUUAAGCCAUGCAAAUGCAUCACAUUAAUAAGAAACUCAUUUUAAUAUCUAUAUCUGACCUUUUAGGCAUGGUUCCAUAGUUCUCAGCCCAUGACGAGAAGUCGCUCAUCUGAAUUAAGGUAAACUCCUGUGAUAGCUUUCAUUUUCCAAAACCUUCACAUGAUGAUCAUAUAUGCAAAGUAAAUAUACUUGCUGCGACUAAAUAUUUGCAGGAAACGAUAUGUUGCUUUACAAAAUUCGCAGACAGCAUUUGGCAUCGAAGCUAUGAAUAAUCUUAAUGCUUCUGGACAUGGUAUUGGUAAUUUGCAGCAGGAUCUUACAAAUUCAAAUGGAUUUAAUAAAGCUUUAUUUUCUGACAUCCCCAAUCCGCUCAAUACGUUCAUGUCUCCAUCAAAUUCCUCGUCGUCUAAUUUCAACUCCCCUCAUAUGGGUACGAUAGAUAAUGUGUCUUCUGUUGUGAGCAUGCUGAAAGGUUCACUGAAACGCAAACGCCUUGAUAACCAGAUUGAAAAAUCUGGUGAAGAUCGGUCAUUAGGCUAUUAUGAUGCUCAAGAGAUCGUAGGUGAUCCUAGUUUGAUUCAAGAACAAGAAAGACAUAUUUACGAGGCACAAGGAAGUUUUCAAGAUACACAUGCUCACCAAGCUCUUGGUCCUGGGGUCCUGCAAACAGUUCAUGGAUUAAUGGAUAUAGAAGAAGAAAUCUUAGCUCCAGCAAAUCAAGUUCAAAUAAACACUGUAUCUCGGGAACAGUCACAGAGCGAAUCUUGUGCUGCUACACCUGCAGUUUCCAUUGGUUUAGAUGCAUAUGAUGGUCCCAGCAACUCAGGUCAGGCUCCGAGCCACUGUGAAAGCUCAAAAAAACAAGUUGGAAAUGAGAAUAUUUCAGAAAAUGGGAUAAAAGCCAAAGGUAAGAGCAGCCGAGCAAGCUUAUCUGAAAGUACUCACAAAAUUUAACUGUUUUUUAAAAUAUUCCUGUUUAACUUAAUCUGCUGGAAGCUACUGUCUGUCAAGUUUAUCUGUAAUAUUAGCUAGCUUUUAUCAUAAAGUUAGCAACCAUAUAUUCAUGAAAAAGAAAAACAAGCAUAUCAGGGCAGUCCUGUAAUUUUGUAAAAAGUUACAUUGGUUUCAUAUCAAAUUUACCUCUCUCACGAUUCACUGAACUUGAAUAUAUGGAGAUGCAAACUAGAUUAUCACACCCCUAAACUAAGAGUGCAUUAGAUCCGAAGAAGAGUUCAGGUCAUUAUUUUUUAAAUAUAGGACAAUUUUGGUAAAAGUUAUAUGGCAGCCUUGUUGGCUACUACCAAAAUCUCCUACAAUUUCUCUUUCUCCAAGUAUAUCUCUAGUACUGAAGCAUCUUCAUUACAGAUGUCAGAGAACGGAUAAACAAUGCCCUAAAAGACGAUCGCCAGGUAUUUAUGACGAGCCCUUUAAUUUCUUAGAGUGCCAGUGUUUUUUAAAUUGUUACUGCUAUUCUAAAUUCGUAUUUCAUCACUUUAUUUCCCUUCCAGCAAAAAGGAGGUUUGGUGCGAUAUGGCUCUGUAACAUCAGCUGGUUCAGGUUAUUAAUUUUGUUUGAGAUCUAGCAUUCAUAACUCUGUGCAAUAAAUCUGGUAUUCUGUGUGAUCUUAAGGUCUAAGAAGAAAUGUAAUACUACCUCCGUCCCUUUUUACUUGUCACUUUGACUUUUUGCACGUAAUUUAAGGUGAGUAAAAAACAUAAUUCCGCUCAUUAUUUUUAAAAUUUUCUUUCUGUGAAUAAAAAUAUAAACUAUAAACUUUAAUUCAGAAAAAGAAAAUUUUUAAAAUAAUAAGUAGAAGUAUGUUCUUUAAUCACCUUAAGUUACGUGCAAAAAGUCAAAGUGACAAGUAAAAAGGGACGGAGGUAGUAGUAUAUAGUCAUUAAUAUCUCGUUGAAAUGUCCUAAAUCAUGCAUAUGUCCUUCGUGAUAGAGUUCAAGGAAUCUCUUCCUUAGAUAUUAUACAAUAGCUUGUUAUUACGGCAAAAGGAAGAUAAGAAUUUGUAAAGAGAGUCCAGUGCAGAAUUACAGCCAACCACUUGGAAAAUUCUAAAUAUGUGAUUACAAGGAAGAUACAUGCCCUUGGCCAAGUGUAGGGAUCUCUCUUAGAUGACAAACAUUAGACUUGUUAAAGUUGCCAAAGGAGGAAAAUAUAAACUUGGAAAAUGAGUCAAAUGCAGACUAUAACCUAAAACUUAGACAAGUAAAGGUUUGCUUACUAUCAUCCUGCUGCAGCUCAUAAAGUGAAAGGCCUAAUAGAACUGGUAGCUUUAGUACAAGGUGACUGAAGAAUACUAUUCAAGUCAUUUAAUGCCAUAAGAAAAUGAAUUUUGUAUACUGAGGAUAACAAAUUGUGUGCACAGACCAGCCAAUACCAUUUAUGACUAGUGUAUAACAUUGGCAUUUUCUCUGAGUAUAUGCAUAUGUUUAAUUUUUUUUAAACAUUAAUUAUUUUGCAGCAGAUAAAACCGAUCCAACAAAGAAACGCAGAGUGGAGCGGUCACGGAAGUAAGUAUAGUAUUGCAUUCACUUCUAACUAUUGUGGAUUCAGUAUUUAUGUGCGUUUUUUUGAUUAUUUGAAGGAAUCAUAAGCAAAAAGAGAAAUUAGGUGGUUCAGUGUGUGUUUGAUUUGUGCACAAGAGUUCAAUCAUUAUAUGUUACCUGUGCCUGGAAACAUCCAACAUGACGACAUGGAUAAAUGUUCACAUGUCUGACUCAACCAUAUUUUACCUCUAUUUUAAAUUAACACAAGUUUUGGUCCAAAAUGAAUUGGUCCAUUCCCAUGUCCGAUUGUGUAACCUGGACUUAGAGUAAAGUAACGUAGUUGUCGAAAGCUCUGUCAAACACUAUGAUGCCUAGGGAAAAACCACAUCAGACUAAAUUAGGUAAGAAAAACUGCUGCAACUUAAUGUACAGAAUGAUCAUCAAAUCAGUUAAAGGAGACUCCAAAACAACUAUGAGAGUAGCUGGAAAAAACAUGAUGCUCAUAAAUUAAUUUAAAAGUAAGAUGCAUCUUGAUAUAUCAUUUUCUGUUCACUUAUCUGCUUGAAUGAAUAGCAAAGAAAUGACAGAUGCAUAUGUUACUCCAUUUCUUUCCUUCAUUAAUAUUGUUAAUAACUAAAUUUCAUAUUUUCAUCAAGUAUAUAUUUUAACAGGUUAACAUAAAUCACUUUUGAAUGAUGCAGGAUGGCAGAAGCAAAGGAAAGAGUUCUCACGCCAGUAAUUCCAUCAGAUAUGCAGUCUGUUUUAAAGCGCUGCGAAAAUCUUGAGAAGGAAGUGCGAUCACUGAAGCUAAACUUGUCUUUUAUGAAUAGGUGACAAAAAACAUAAUUUACUUGUCUUUUCAUCACCAAACUUUCCAGUACCUUAUUAUUCUGAUAGAUUAGAGUCCAAAAGAGAACUACUUGUAACAAAUAAAUGCUGGUUAUUAAUAUUGCAGAAAGGACUCCGAACAGACAAAGCAGAUAGAAGAGCUACAGAAGCAAAACAAGGAUUUGAUAAAUGAAAAGGAACGGCUUCUGGAAGAAAUCGAAAGGAUAUACUCGGAGACAAGCAAGAUGUAAGACUUGAUCAUGAUAUUUCUAGUUAGAACACUUUGUAUUACCUCAAACUAAGUUACUAAACAAGGAUCGCAUUCUACAAGUAAUUAAGACAUGUUUAACCGGACUGAAUUCAUAUUCUUGAACAAAUGGUCGAUCUUGAUUUAACAACUAUGUUGGGUCAAAUGUUCCUAAGACAGUAGCACUAAAAACAUCAGUUUGUAUGCUGAAUUUAGGCUUAUACCUUCUUUGAUUUCUUUACAAGUGAUGCGGUAAUGAUCUAUCAUAUUCAUUUUCAUGGCAUGCCCUUCUUUUCGUAUUGACACCUGUUAAAUGAGUAAUUUAUUUGAUGAUAACAGGUAUUAAAACAUAGUUGAAUACAUUAUAAUGUAAGAAAGUGACAUAUUUUAUGAAUCAACAGCCAACAAAGUAAAUAAUUCUAAAGUAUAAUCUCUUUCAUAUGAUAGUUAAGGAACAAUACUACAAUUAAUGUAUGUUUAUGUUAUAAGGAUCAAGUAAUCAACUUAGCGCCUGAAGUGCGUAAUAAAUCUAAGUUUGGAAAUUUCUUUUAGCAAUCUAUGCGGAUGACAAUUUGAGAUCAAGGAUAAGUCCCAUCCAAUACAACAAUAUGAGAUCAAGGAAUUAGGGAUUUCAGACAAGUUAGAUCUUCGGGACCAUCAAAAUUAGAUAUCUUUAUUACAAGUCGGGUGUUCUUGAUUAUGACGCUCCAUCUUAACGGUGAAUUUCAGACAAGUAUUGAUGUUUUCCAAAUAAAUUCAGAAAUCAAAGUUAUCUGCUAUGUUCACCGUAAUCUUGGAGAUUCUUGUGAGCUGUGGCCCACUCGUAAAGACAUGAUUCAGUUUUGUGCUGUUAAAGCAGGCAGCUAGUACCAAGAAGAACACUAAACUAUGUAAACAUGCCAGACUCGCAGAUAAUACAAGUACAUUGUUGUCAUAGAUGAGUAACUAACAAUAUAAUCUUUCAAGAAAUCACAUGAAAUCUAGCAAAAGAACACACGAUGUAGAAAUUUACCAAUAUAUAUGGACCUCUUCAGAAACUAUCAAUGUAUUCAAAAAGAAAAAGAAAAAAAGGGAAUUGUAUUCUUAAGGAAAAAGUUGAGAUCAGCGUCUCAGUAUUUUCUUGUAAACCAAAACAGAUAAUUAAAAGACCUCGUAUAUGAACAAGUCUGAAGAAAGCUUUUCAAGAUCCUCUGUCUUGAUGAAUCUUGACAUCUUUCUCAUCCAUCGAUCAGGCAUUCAAUAUAAGGGGUACUGUCUCAGAAGCCUUAGUAUUUGAAUAAACAUCUAUAUCAUAACCCUCUUUCAACUGCAUCACAAAAUAUUUAAAUAAAACAUCAUCAAAAUUGAGACAAUAUUAACAAAGGCUGGAAUAAUAAUCAGUAGUAUAAAUCCCAUACCUUAAAGAAGAAGAAUACUACUAGGUUCUUGGAGAUUCUUGGGUGUUAAAGCAGGCAGUGACAAGAAGAAUACUAAACUUCUUAAACAUGCAUGCAAGACUCGAUCGCAUAAUAUAACAAUAACUACGUGGUUACUUACCACUUCUUGGCCAUCGAUCAUCCCCAUCUCUCUCCCUCUCCCCUUCUCUUUCUCUCUCUCUCAUGAUCUCUGACCAUCGCCAAUCCGCACGAGAGAGAGAGAAAGAGAACGCGAGAGAAACAGAGUCUCAUCCAUCGCUCACAUGUGUUUUUGAAUUAACUUUGAAAAUUUAUAGGCUGAAUUUAUAGGCUACCGUCUAUCGAAUUACUAUAUUCGAUUUGUAAUUUUGUUUGAUUUUCGUGUUUUUAUCCUUAUCUUGUUAUUUCUAGUGAUUUUCAUUUGAUAGGAUUUCUAUUUAUUUUAAAUAUUCGCUUAUGUUAUAUCCAUUUUUUAGAGUAGAAAAUUAAAAAAUACAUUUUUUUGAAAAAUUCAUUUUUUAUUUUUGAUUUACCUAGUUAUCAGUUUAUAUGAGUACUAUUUGAUGUGCAACUGCAAAUAUGUUUUUCGGUUGGAUUUGUUAUUCUGAAUUCCUAAAUUUUCUAGGCAAGAUUGUAGUUUCUGGAUGAUAUUCCAUUUAUUUAAAUUUUAGAAAUAAGUUACGGCUUUUUAGUUGUUUAGGUGAAGUCUAGGAUAAGUCUUCUGUAGCAGUUUUUUCUGAAAAACAUGCGAAAAAUUGUUUGAAAAAUCUAAAAAUAAUUUUUUCAAACAGUAACUUCUAGCUGAAAAGCUGUUUUUAAAAAAAAACAAAUCUCUCAUAUUUUUAGAAAAAACUGCUCUUCAUUUACACAAAAUUGUUGCAAAUAUCACUAUCAAACAUCAUCGAAAACAUUACCUUUUAAUUAUAAUUUAAAAUAAAUAAAUAUCAAAAAAUUAUCAUCAGAAACUCCAUCCGUCCUAACCAAUAGUAUAUACUGGGGGAUGGGAUGCGACACAAAUUUUAAUACUUUCACAAAAUCUAGUUCUAUAACUUAUUUUUUAGAUUUUAAAUUUUUAUACAAAAUAAGAAAAUUUUAAAAAUAAAUUACAUAACUAUAUUUUAUAAGAGUUUUAAAAUGAUAUUCCAUGAAGCGUAUACAAUUAAUUGGGACAUAGGAAGUAUCUAAUUUUUACAACAAAAUUUUUUUUACCUCCACAUUUUCUAACAAUAAUCCCAAACGGACCCUAAUUUUAGGAUUUUUUUUUUUUGAUUUUCAGAUAUUUAAAUUUUAUAUUAUCUAAAUAUAUGGGAUUAUAUGGGAUCAGUAUGGAUCCGGUUUUAGAAAGGAAGGCGUUAAUUGUGCCUUAAUUGAGCGCGUUAAGUGUGCCUCCUAAUCGAGUGCGUUAAUUGUGCCUCUUAAUUAAGAGCGUAAAUUGUGCCUCCGGGCGUUAAUUGUGCCUUAAUUGAGGACGUUAAUUGUGUCUUAAUUAAGGGAGUUAAUAUUUUAUUAAUUGUGGCUUAAUUGUGAGCUUAAUUGUCUCAAUUGUUAGUUAUCAUGAUUGUGGGAAUAUUUUGAUCUGCACUUGCAACAUACACGUGUUUUUAAUAAUAAUUAUUUAUUGGAUAUAUAUAAUCUGUUACAUAUAUUGACUUAUAUUCUUCUUGUUUUCUUUGUUUUAUUUUCAGGAUUCUCGGAAGAAAACUAGUUUUUUUUUCAGAUAUUAAAGUUUUAUUGUCUAAAUUUCUCCGAUCAUUUUACAUGUCCGACGAUUAGAUAAUAAGUUUUCUUGCAUGAAAGAAUUAUCACGGUGAAUUACCGAUUCAUAUUCGUUGAGAUUUAUUCUAAAUUUUAAAAAAUAUUGAUUUAAAUUCGAAAAAUAUUACGUGGCCGUUAAGAGCUCCGAAUCUCCCUCACCGAUAAAUUACUAAUAAUUAAUAUUUAAUUUAAUGAAAUUAAUUGCUACAAAAAGACCAUUCACUUUCCUCUUUGCCCACAACUCUACGAUACAAAUACUCAAAAAUAACUCAAAACCGCCCACAACCCCUGUAUUUUCGCGCCCAUCUCAAAAACUUCCUCAACACUCUCCAAUUUCCUAGGGUUUCAAAUCUCAUCUACACAGUAAAACACACAAAUAUAAACAGACCCAUUUUCUCAAAACCCCAUCUUUAUUCACAAAUCAAAACACUGAAAAUGGUGAAUUUGUCAGGAGGGUCAGUUGAUAUGAUAUGCAACAGCAAAGAUAAGCAUGUGGAUAUCAACCCAAUACUUCAAGUUCAAGAUGUGAGGAUUGUGCAGACCACUAAUUCAGCUUCUGAGAGGUACAGAUUGUUGCUGUCUGAUGGGGUUUUCACUGUUCAGGGGAUGCUUGCUACUCAGAACAAUGAUCUGGUGAAGGCUAAUAAGCUGGUGAAAGGGUCUGUGGUGAAGCUCAAUGAGUUUGUUUGUAAUCGCAUCCAGACUCGAGUGUAUGUAUCUUUUCAUCUCUUUGAAUGUUUUUUUUGGGUUUUGUUGUGUUUUUGCUUGGUGGGUUCUUGUUUUUUAGGUUAUGUGUGUGAAAGUGUUGGGCUUUUGGUGCUUUCUUGAUUUAAGGUUUUACAAGAUUGGAUUGGAUUUUGGAGAUUGGUUUGUUGUUGUUGUUUGUGUGGAAAUGUUGGGUUUUCGAUAUGGGGUUCUUCGAUAUUGGAUUUUGGAGAUUGGCUUUCGUUCUUGUGUGGAGAAUGUUGGGUUUUGAUUUUGAUUUUUUUUAUAUAAUAUGGGGUUCUUUAAAUUUGGAUUUUAGAGAAUGGGUUAUUGUUCUUGUGUGUGAAAUUGUUUGAUUUUGAUUGGGUUUUUAAUUGGGAUUCUUUAAGACUGGAUAUUUGACAUUGAUUCUUGUUUAUGAGUGUGAACUGUUUGGGUUUUAGUAUCUUUUGAUAUUGGGUUCAUCAAGAUUGGAUUUUGGAGAUUGGUUUCUUGUUUUCCAGUGCUUAUUUUUGGACUAUUUUACUUUUUUAUUUGUGGAAGUCUCGGGGCCAGUUAUUCUUAUGUGUUUGUAUUUGAUCUAUAAAUACUUGGAAUUGAAUGGUGCAAUAAGUCGAAGAGACCGGAAGCCAAACUUGAAUUGUAAUAAAAUGUAGAAAACAUUGAGGUUUUACGUUACUAGUAGGUGGAUAACUUUGAUGCAAAGCUAAAGUUCAGUAUUUUGUUGGAAUUGCAAGUGGAGAAUGAAACCCAAAUAUGAUUUUAUAUUUUUAGAAAAAAACUAGAUAUAAAAAUAAAUUUCAGUUUGUUAAAUUUCUGUAUAUGUGUGUACUGUCAGCUAAAUAAGAAAGAUCCCUAGUUUGCUUUUAUUGAACUUGUAAAACUUAAUAUUACGAGUAGUAAUGUUUAUCAUCGUUUUAUCCUCGUCUAGGAGUAUUUCUAAACAAUUAUGUGGAUUCAAUAUUACUAUGUCUGAUUCAGAGACGCUCUAAGAUUCAAUCCUCUAAACAAAUAUCACUGAUGACUUAUUUGAAUCCAUAUGAAAUUCUUUAUUCAUUUCUGAUGUUGUGUUAUUGAUGUCAAUAAUUUUGAUUCAGGAUAAUUAUAAUUGUCAAUCUGGAUUUGGUACUAGAGCAGUGUGAGACAAUUGGUGAUCCAAAACCAUAUCCACCAAUAGUUGACGGUCCAGCAAAACCUUCCCCGGCUUCUAACAUAAGUCACAGCGGAAAUUCUAAUAAUCCUCAAUAUCACAAUGGAAAUUCAGUUGGUGCUGGGUUAAUGCCUAACAAUGAAAAUGUAGGUGUCGGAAGUUAUAUGCAGGCUCCUGGACAAGGUAGGAGUUCUGGUCCGCCUUUAUACAAUAGCUCUCUUGGCAGUAAAGCAGAAUCAGGACAAUAUAAUCAAACAACUUCAGGCUUUGGAUAUUCAAACACAGAGUCUGCUACUGGAAUUUCACGAUCACCUAUGAAUAAUCAUGUGCGUCCUAUUCAGCCAGCAUAUCCUCAGGUACCUCCAAUGUAUGGAAACAGGGGACCAAUCGCAAAAAAUGGAGCACCUCCAAGGAUUAUUCCUAUUGCAGCUCUUAAUCCAUAUCAAGGUAGGUGGACAAUCAAAGCCAGAGUGACAGCAAAAGGGGCUCUCAAACGCUACAGUAAUCAGCGGGGUGAAGGGAAGGUAUUUUCUUUUGAUCUUCUUGAUUCUGAUGGUGGAGAGAUACGUGCAACCUGCUUUAAUGCUGCAGCUGACCAGUUCUACCACCAGAUUGAGGAUGGCAAAGUAUAUUUAAUUUCUAAAGGCACGCUGAAACCUGCCCAAAGAAAUUUUAAUCAUCUCCCUAAUGACCAUGAAAUUAUGUUGGACAGCUCCUCCACAGUGGAGCCUUGUUUUGAAGGUGAACACUCAAUCCCGCAACAGAGAUUUCAAUUUCGGUCUGUAGCUGAAAUUGAAGGUAUUGAAAAUAAUACCGUUAUUGAUGUCAUUGGUGUUCUUUGCUCUAUUAGUCCAUCAAGCCCGAUAAUGAGGAAAAAUGGCACUGAAACUCUGAAGAGGGCUCUCCACAUCAAAGACAUGUCUGGAAGAAGUGUUGAAGUAACUUUGUGGGGAGAUUUUUGCAAUGCAGAAGGACAAACACUACAAAACAUUUGUGAUUCAGGGGUAUUUCCUGUUUUGGCUGUGAAAUCUGCUAAAGUAAGUGACUUUAAUGGGAAGGCUGUAGGGACAAUACCUACUAGUAAGGUGAUUAUAGAGCCAGAUAUCCCCGAGGCUCACAACUUAAAAGCUUGGAUGGAGACUGAUGGAAAGAAUGCUCAAGUAUCUUCUAUAUCCAGGGAGACAGCAAUAGGAAGGCAAGAUGUUAGGAAGACUAUAUCACAAAUCAAAGACGAAAAACUAGGGACUUCUGAGAAGCCAGAUUGGAUCACAGUAGCUGCUACUCUAUCAUAUCUUAAAACGGACAAUUUCUGCUAUACUGCAUGUCCCCUAAAGAUCGGAGAACGACAGUGCAACAAAAAAGUUAUAAACAAUGGAGAUGGAACGUGGCGAUGUGAGAGGUGUGAUCAGUCUGUUGAGGAAUGCGAUUAUAGAUAUAUACUCCAGUUUCAGAUACAGGACCAUACUGGCUUAACAUGGGUAACUGGAUUUCAGGAAAUCGGCGAUGAAAUUUUUGGUAUUCCUGCAAAAGAUUUGUAUAUGAUGAAAAAUGAGGACCAAGAUGAUGAAAAAUUUUCAGAAUACGUCCGCAAGAUUCUCUUCAACAAAUAUUUGUUCAAGUUGAAAGUGAAGGAGGAGACAUUUAGUGAUGAACAGCGGGUGAAGUCCACUGUGGUCAAAGUAGAUAAACUAAAUUUUGUAUCCGAGACUAGAGGUCUCUUGGAUUUACUUAAUAAGCUUCAGGGGGUUGACUCAAGUUCAGUAGCUUUGAAGUCUGAAAAUUCUGUUCUGAACACUGGAACGAAUAAUGCUGCAUAUGGUAGUUUUGGGAUUAAGGAGUCUGCACAUCCUAAAGUCAACUAUACGGGAAAUGUUAGUUCUGCUGGUCAAGGGAUUGGGUUGCCAGCAAGUCAAGUAGGUCAGUUUGGGAACCAAAAUGUUGGUUCUAGGCUUGCAUCAACUGGGCCGACUAAUGCAUAUAUGAUGUGUAGUACCUGUGGUGGAAUGGAUCACAGCAGUAAUAAUUGUCCAGCUGCUAUGGAUGUUCAAGAGCAUUCAUAUGGUGGAGGUUUCAAUAAUCAGACGAUUCCUGCUGGCAGUGGCAGCACUGGGGGUGGUGGCAGUGGUAGUGGACAGUGUUACAAAUGUCAUGAACAUGGUCACUGGGCUAAUAAUUGUCCCAAUGCUAGGAGUGGGCUUCCAGGUUAUGGGAGUGGCAAUGUUUCUACUUCUGCUGGUGGUGGUGGCAAUGGUGGUGAGUGUUUCAAAUGUCAUCAAAAUGGUCACUGGGCAAAAGAUUGUCCCAGUGCAGGGGGUGUGACUUCUGGUUAUGGGAGUGGCAAUGUUUCUGCUUCUGCUGGUGGUGGUGGCAAUGGUGGUGAGUGUUUCAAAUGUCUACAACAUGGUCACUGGGGAAAAGAUUGUCCCAGUGCAGGAGGUGUGACUUCUGGUUAUGGGAGUGGCAAUGUUUCUGCUUCUGCUGGUGGUGGUGGCAAUGGUGGUGAGUGUUUCAAAUGUCUACAACAUGGUCACUGGGGAAAAGAUUGUCCCAGUGCAGGAGGUGUGACUUCUGGUUAUGGGAGUGGCAAUGUUUCUGCUUCUGCUGGUGGUGGUGGCAAUGGUGGUGAGUGUUUCAAAUGUCUACAACAUGGUCACUGGGGAAAAGAUUGUCCCAGUGCAGGAGGUGUGACUUCUGGUUAUGGGAGUGGCAAUGUUUCUGCUUCUGCUGGUGGUGGUGGCAAUGGUGGUGAGUGUUUCAAAUGUCAUCAAAGUGGUCACUGGGCAAAAGAUUGUCCCAGUGCAGGGGGUGCGACUGCUGGUUAUGGAAGUGGCAAUGUUUCGUCUGGAAGAUACGGAAGUGCUUCAAAGCAGUAUGUGGGUGGCUACUGACUAUGCAGGUAAUAUAGUCGAACAUACUCUUGUAGGCUGUUAUUCAAGACACACACACACACACACAUCCAUUUUCUUGCCUAAUUUGAGGCCUGUUAUAGGGUUAUCUGACCUAACAAGAUAAAAGUCCGAAUAUGAUUAAUAUGCAGAAUCUAGGUCAUAAAUAAUGAAGAUCUAGAACUAUAAGACCUGUAUGAAAAAGGUUGUGUGGCUUGUUUACAAGCCAAUUAGCUGAAGCAUUAGUAAGAUUAUAAUUACAUCUGGAUAUUGAUCAUUUGUUACCCUGGAAAGUGGCAAGUUAAGUUUUUUCUGCUAUUAAUUUUAAAGUUGUUGAUACUUGCUUGCAUAUCGAAGUUGCCUGUUAUUUGCUAAGUAUAGUUCAAGCUAAAGGUAUGAUGAUCAGUGUCAACGAGUUUACUAUUGCUAUUGUGAUAUACAGAAAGAAAAUCAGCAAGCUAAAUAAUGUAACAUUGUUAAUAUUACCCUAUAUGAAGACUAACUUACAGUUUAGGACAAAAACAGUCAAUAAUAUGAAAUCAAGGUUGCUUGUAGGUAGCAGCCUUAUUCUUUCCUUAUCAUAUUUAUGAUACCAUUGUGCUGAUAAUGGUUUCUCUUGUUUUUGCUUUUCAGUUGGCAGCUAAUCAUAAAAUCCUGGUCACUGGGCUCAAACCUUUGAUAUUGGAGAUUUUUGGAACUACUUUUGUCUAUAAUGACCAAGCUUGCUGUAAUUGGCACUUAGUUGGCCUUUUUAUCUUUGAUCAGAUCUUUGUUUUCUUGUUUACUUGUGUUCCCGUACAUUAUUUGUUAUCUGUUUUCUGCUACAUGUGUUUAUAAAUUUACUGAUGUAUGGCUUUCUUGUGUGCUUGACAUUGAAUGUUUAGUUAAAUUCUUAAUGUGGCAAAACGGGCAGAUGUUUUUAGCAACAUCUUGCUGCUGCUUUAUGUUAGAACUGCUUCACCACAAGAAUUAUGUUCAAGUGUUACUGAUAUAGAAAGCAUCGGAGUCGGUAGACAUCGUAUAUUUUUUCAAGUCUGCUGUCACAGAAAACCAUCUUAUAUUCUAAAUUAAUUUUUCUUUUUUACUUCAGACAGUUUCUUGCAUACAGUCUGUUUCUUUGUUAUACUGGCAGCAUCAUUGUUGUUUAUAGUACAAGUUCAUGUGUAUCUAGAGCAGGCAUGAUACUUAAUCACUCAGACAAUUAGUAUAAUUUAAACCAUGUUUUGUACUUAGUCCAUUGAUUACCCUGCUUACUUGCUUUUAUCAUAACAAAUUUAAGUUUACAAGUGGUAAAGCAGAAUUUAUUUAUUUAUCUCUUAUAGAAGAUUAAUUUCAAAAUUAUGGUUUAGUCAUGUAUCGCUUUUUAUCAGCUAAAUUAGAACAAUCUAUCGAUUUAAUCAACUCCUGGAGAUGAUUCAAUAAAUAAUCUCUUUAAUAAAAAUACUGUAUUAGAAGGGCCCUUUUAAAAAGAGUAGAUUGUCAGUUAAGCUUUUGCAAAACUAGAUCUAAAACACUUUAACUUUCUGGAUUCUUUAAUCACAACAAACAAACACGACACAUAUUUAUACACCAAUAAUCGAUAUAUAGCACUGCAUAUGACAAUGCCAAGUAAAGAAUAAAGUAAAGCCUUGAAAACCGAUUUAUACUGUCGGUGCUCCAGUCCUUUUCGAUACUGAAAUAAAUUAUAUCUGCAUGCUGCGAGACUAGUGGUGCUUAGAAACGACAUCGUGCGUGCAUGUAUUUUUGUUAUAUACAUGCCGUGUUUUUAUGCACAAUUUAAUCACUAGACGAUGAAUCUUUAUUUCAUUUUCGAGAUUUAUUAAUCAGAGUCACGCUGUCUUAUCUCCAUGUGAUAUGGCACGAUUUAGAACAUGAUAUCAAUUAUUGAGAUGGGAGAUGGUGUGUUUGAUUAAGCUCUCAACAUCCUUUAGUCAUAUUCUUCUUUUAUCUUUAUAUCUGUAUAUUUGCGCGUUAUGAUUCAACGACGCUUGUUUUAAUCUGGUCGAAAUUAUAGUUCUUAAAAAUAAUUCAUUAGAUAAUAAAAGACAUCGUAUGAUAAAUAUGAAUUUAAUCUGAAUAUUAUCAAUUUUUUAAAUCGGGUAUCUGGGCCCAUUUACACACAGCUUGACUGAUCUUGUACGACAUCCAACCAAUUUGGGAAGAUAUAUUGCUGCGAUAAGUUGAGAGCACGUUUAGUUUCUAAUUCGGACAUGGCAAGGACUGAAAAAAAAUCUGGGAAUGUAGCAAGUGGAGCCUCAUAAACAGUGCAGGAUUACCCGGUGAAACCAAACUAAAAAUAUCUACUGUAUAUUCAUUCUUUGGGUUCUUUCUUUUUUCUAAAGAGUGAGUAAAUGCUACUGCAAAUGAAUACAGAGAUUUUUGGAUCAUCAGUGACAAUGAAAAUCAGGAAUAGAAAUGAAAGAUAAAUAUACAUUUCAUAAAUAUGAAGCAAAUGAUUUUCUCACUAGAUGUAGAUCAGAUUCUCAUUUCAUAUAAUAAAUUUGUCAAUGCAAAUAUUAACAUAUAAUUUAUGAUUUUCAAUUCUUAUUAACCAAUUCAUUAAUCAUGAUCCAAAUAUCCAAAAUUGUCCAGAGCAGCUUAGCAAUGCACAUAUUGUAAGAAUCUGCAUCAACCUGGUGCCGGCCCCUUGUCGAACAGACCUGUAUCUUCUGAUCUUCAUCUCCAUUACUCCUCAUAUAAUGAUAGUAGUAUAAAAUUGCAACCUGUUUGGGUUGUACGGAAUUUUUGGUUUUAAUUAUACUUUAUUUUAUUUUUUUUUGAACGAAUUAAAGACAUUUGACAUUUGUAUGGUGAGCUAAUAUGUUGACCAUAGUACAACAGCUAUAUAGUUUAUGUCAAAAAUAAUUUACUAAUAUUCAACAGAUUGGGUUGAGUAGAAGAGUUGAAAUUGAAUGUUAGAAAUAGAAAAUUGAACAAGUUAGUUGCACUACACCAACCCAUACAGUUUUGCAAUAUUAUAUGAUGCGGUAAUGCAUUUAUUGGUCAUCGUGGUUUGUUUCCACCGUCAACAAUGCUUCGGACUUCUUUUUCUACUUUCAUCUUGAACUUUUUAUCACACUUACCUUUAUAAAUUUUAUCUUAAAAAAUUUAUUCUCAUAUAUAUUCACAUACAUAUUUUCUUUAUAAUAUUUUAUUAUAUCUUGUUCUUAUUUCGAUUAAAUCCCCAAAAUUAUAGAGGUGAAACAAAGAUUAUACAUAUAGGUAUGCACAGCUGAGUUGACGGUGAUUUGGCCGAUUGAUAAUUUGAUACUACUUGUUGCGACUUGUGAAACUUUUGCACAUCAUUAGGUGUCAACGUUUUAGUGGGAAUUUUCUUUGAUGCACUGUAGCUACCUUGCUCAGAAAUAAUCAUAAAUUUAAGGUUUCAUCACAUGUAUUUAAAUUUUGUGUUGUAGUAAUUUUCUGUCACCGUCACACUUGAUUUUAAGCUUUGAAUACAGGUUUCAAAUUUUUUUUUAAUAAAUAAAGUCUGUUACCAAUUUAUUAUAAUUACUAAUGAUUCAUCAAUUUUUUGGUUAUCUUGCCCAAUUCCUAGGCGACAAAAAACCAUUAUACUAAAAAAUGAACCUUUCUUUGUAGCGAGACAUACUUGGUCUACUAUAAUGUUUCUGUAAUUGCAAAUUUGCAACAUAUGGAAAAUUUGCUCGAUGAUAUAUACACACAAUUUAUGCGUAUAUAAUCAAAUAUUUAUGCGAACAAGUUGCUAGAUUGUCGAAUUUAUUCUCAAAAUGAAUUUCAGAUAUCAUACAUUAUGAUUUAAUUUAUUAUUAUUUUAUUGGACCCUACAUGCACAAUAAUAACACUAUUUAAAAAUAUUUCAAAUUAAUCUAGUUUAAGAAAGAAACGUGAAACAAUAAGAAUAUUUCAGCUAUUUUUGUGCGUUCACAACUGCACAUAGCACAGAACAAUCAACCAAGGAUACCAUUUAUUGCAAAACUACAAACUGUGUGUCAGUUACAAACUUAUAUUACCACCUUUUUUUAUUGUAAUAAAAAUAAAAACCAUAUUUUUGACAGAGGAGAGAGAACUGAAGAGAAGGAAGAAACAAGGAAGGAACCUUUGAAAUGAUGUCAGAUGGUAAUUUAUCAAGACAAAGAAACAAGAAAAUAUAAAUACAAUGAAUAAGACAGCUAGGUAGAAGGUAAAGAACCAGUUCACUUUUUUUUUAAGGUGCUUGCUAUCUGUAUAUAUUCACACUUGCAUAUGUGUGUGUAUAAGCUUCUAUGUGAGACCAACUAAUCUAUCUCUUUCUAUUCACAUUAUCCCCUUGAGCUUUGCAGGCUUUACAGAAGAGAGCUACUUAAAUUUUGAGUGUUUUUGUAGAUACAAAUAAAUUUAUUUGCAGAUUAGAAGUUGGAAAGAAGGCCUUUUGCAAAUCUUUAACUGAGGUACUUCAUCUGAUCUCAUCUAUGUAUGUUCUGUUUGAUUUUAUAUUCUUUUUUGGUUUCUGUGUGAGUUUGUAUGUGAUGCAAUUCAUUUUUCUUGCAAUCUUCUUGAAGUUUGUGUAAUUUUUUGUUAAAUUGGUGAUUAGUUGAUGGGUAUUAGAAAAGAUAAUCUUUUUUCCCACUUUUACUUUUAGUUGGCAUAUAAUUUUGGUGGGAUUGGUUUAACACUAUGGUCUUUUAUUGUUGCUUGAACUAGAAGGAUUGUUUGUUUUUUAAGUUAUUUGUGCUAUUGGUAUUUGAUUAGUGAGAAAUAAAACAGCUGACUCAGCACUAAGUAAGUGAUAAUGCAAGAAGUAUGAGUUUCCAUUAGUUUGAGUGAUUAGCUACAUAUCCAGCUUGUAUAUGCAAUAGUUUAGUACAUAUGUUUCUUUCUCGGUUUAUGCAUGGUUGUUGUAGUGAAGUUGAUUGCUUUGAUUUCCUCUCAUCACUCCUAGACUUAUUUGCAGGAGGGUCCCGUUAGGCCGAUUGAUUAUCAUUGUCUAGUAGUCCUGGGGCCCAGUGUCAUGUGAAUUGUAAUAGGAUAUUUGCAACUAGAUCUUGUUGUUAUAUGGGAGAACUUGAGCACAUAGAGAAUUGUAAUGGUUGGUUGGGUUGGAACUGCAUUAUUCUCUUACACAUGAGUACUUGUGCCUAGAUAGAUCUCCAUAUAUUCUGAGGUAUUCUUACAAUGGUCUACAGACUUGAUUAGUCGAAUUUAACAUUCCAGUAUCGUAAGUUUUCUGGUUUAGUAGGUGUUACUAUAUUAGUAUAAGCCAUUGCUUGAAUCUGUAAGUGCCGUCUAGUCAUUCCUCCCUCUCUUAUCCGGUCUCUUGUGCAGUUUCUGUAGCUUUUAGUAGUAUAUUUGAUUGUGAGUACUUGGUAUUUGUAAACUUGUUCAAUCAGCUUUAGCAAUUAUCACAAUUGUUGAUUUCCAGAGAUCUAUUGAAGCUGUAUUGACUCUGCACUUCGUUUGCUUUCCUCCAGAUAUUUAAUUACUUGGGCGACCAUGAAGCACAAGGAUGGAAAACUGAUACAUGACAAAAAUCCCAGGAUUGUCCCCCUGACAGUACUGCUGGUUGUGUUAUGUGGAUUCUCCUUCUAUCUUGGUAAAAUCUAUUGUCCUGAGAAAGACAGAAUUGUGGCUAAUGACGUAGCCAAGGCAGUGCCAUCAUCGAAGGCAGUUGUUCCCGUUUCUAUGCAAGUGAAAUCUGUUUCCUUCCCCGAUUGUGGAGUUGAUUAUCAAGAUUACACUCCAUGCACAGAUCCCAAGGUACAAUUUGUGACUAAACCAGUGAUGUUAAGGUCUCUUCUUGGUCUAAUAUAUUGUGAAUAUUUUUGAUGAUACAUAUUAAAAUAACAAUUUCAUUUGCACAGAGAUGGAGGAAGUAUGGUGUUCAUCGUCUUACAUUUAUGGAACGCCACUGCCCUCCUCUUUUUGAGAGAAAGGAAUGUUUGGUUCCCCCACCUGAUGGUUACAAGGUUCCAAUCAAGUGGCCUACAAGCAAAAAUGAGUGUUGGUACAGGUAAUAUAUAUAAUAUAUAUCUCUUUUUUCUCUUAGUUAAGUUACUGGGUUAAUUGUCUCUAUCGUAAUCUCCUGGUAAUCAAUUUUCGGUGAUCUUUCAGGAAUGUACCAUAUGAUUGGAUUAACAAACAGAAGUCCAAUCAGCACUGGCUGCAGAAAGAAGGGGAGAAGUUUCAUUUUCCUGGUGGAGGCACUAUGUUCCCCAAUGGUGUUGGCGCAUAUGUCGAUUUGAUGCAAGAUCUAAUCCCUGGAAUGAAAGAUGGAACUAUCCGGACUGCCAUUGAUACUGGAUGUGGGGUAAGUCUAAUCAUGUGUAAAAUGCUUUGGAUUUCAAUAUGUAUUAAUUUGCUUAAAACAGUGUUCUGCUUCUAGUAUUUAUCUUAGGCAAACAAAGCUGAUGAGAUUAAUAGGCUGGUAAUUGAUGGUUAUUUAUUACCUGUAAUUUGCUAGUAAUUUGUACUAUAAUACGUGUUGUAGGUUGCUAGCUGGGGAGGUGAUUUACUUGAUCGAGGGAUAUUAACAGUUUCACUUGCUCCAAGAGAUAACCACGAGGCUCAAGUCCAAUUUGCUUUGGAACGUGGAAUUCCUGCAAUCCUGGGAAUUAUUUCGACACAGCGACUGCCUUUCCCAUCAAACUCAUUUGAUAUGGCUCACUGCUCAAGAUGCCUUAUCCCAUGGACAGAAUUUGGUAUGUGAACUCCUGCAUCUUAAAUUUAUAAAAUUCAGGAGGCAUGUACAACAUGGCUUGCUUGCUUUCUUGAAUGGACGUUCCCUUCCUUAAUAAUGAUGCUAAGCUCUACUAUCACCAAGUUUCCAUUUCUCUGCAGUUCUUUGCCAGUAAAAUCUUGAACCUUAUUUGUUUGGUUUCUCUGCAAUAUGCAUUUAAAAAUCCACUAUAAUAGAAAUCCAUGACAACUAUAAACUCAGUUCCAUGUUUUGAUUUUGGUACGGCAAUAUCUUGUGAUGAAGUUGGUCAUAUGUAAGUUUAUAUGUCGGCUGCAAAAAAAUAUUUAGGGCUGUACAAUGAACACAAUGCUUUAUAUUUAUGAAUUGGCAACUGUUAGUAUGUUACUUGUAAUCUGUUUUUUAGAAUACAUUUAUACUGCAACGUUCAUAGGUAUUGCAUUAGUUGGCUACUUCUUUUUCUUCUUCUUUGUUUCUGAUAUGUUUGUGAUUUUCUUAGGUGGAAUUUACCUUCUCGAAGUUCACCGUAUACUUCGUCCAGGAGGAUUUUGGGUUCUAUCUGGGCCACCAGUGAACUACGAGAACCGUUGGAGGGGUUGGAACACUACUAUUGCAGACCAAAAAUCUGAUUAUGAUAAGUUGCAAGAAUUACUUAAAUCGAUGUGCUUUAAAUUAUUCGACAAAAAAGAUGACAUUGCUGUGUGGCAGAAGUCUUCAGACAAUAGCUGCUAUAAGAAACUUGAUAGCCCAGAUGUAUACCCGCCUAAAUGUGAUGAUGGCACUGAACCUGAUUCAGCAUGGUACACCCCACUCAGGCCUUGUGUUGUCGUUCCAAACCAGAAGAGGAAGCUAGCACUACCUUCCCUUCCCAAAUGGCCCGAAAGAUUGCACACUGCACCAGAACGUGUUGCCGAUGUUCGUGGUGGAAGUGAUGGUACUUUUAAUCAUGAUGACAGUAAAUGGAAAGUGCGAACAAAGCACUACAAGAAGUUGCUUCCGGCAAUUGGUACAGAUAAGAUAAGAAAUGUAAUGGACAUGAAUACACUUUACGGGGGAUUUGCUGCUUCUGUGAUCGAUGAUCCCUUGUGGGUAAUGAAUGUAGUCUCCUCCUAUGCUGAAAAUACUCUUCCAGUAGUCUAUGACAGGGGCCUGAUUGGAACCUACCAUGACUGGUAAUUUUUAAUGCUUACAAAGUCUGCAUAAUGGCACACUUCUUGCCCUCUAAGAUUAUAGUUUUUAAUAAGACUCUAUACAGAUAUUGAGACAUUGAUCAUUUAUUUUGCAGGUGUGAGGCUUUCUCAACAUACCCUCGGACUUACGAUCUGCUUCAUGCUGACAGUCUCUUUACCCUCGAAAGUCACAGGUAGGAGCUCUCUGUCUUCAUAUUCCUUUAUCUCCUCGAUAUUUCAGGCGCUUUUUGAAUAUUAACUCUGUUUAUUUGAUUAUGUUUUCUUGACUUUGUCUAAUGCUUGUUGUUACUUGUUCAGAUGCGAUAUGAAAUUUGUGCUACUAGAAAUGGAUAGAAUUCUUCGACCUAACGGAUAUGCAAUAAUCCGUGAGUCAGUCUACUACACAGAUGCAAUUACAACCAUGGCCAAGGGCAUGAAAUGGAGCUGUCGUCAAGAAGACAACGAGUACGGAGUAGAAAAGGAGAAGGUGUUGAUUUGCCAGAAGAAGCUGUGGUACUCUAAACAAAGCUCUCGAUAAACCAACAAACAAAAUACAAUUGAUACUGAUAAAUAUCAUGGAAGAAUGGCUGCAUCAACUAUAGAGAAGAGAAGAAAGGUGCCGUAACAUUUACAAAGAAAUAUAGUUUAUUUAUACUUUAAAAUUAAGAAAGCUUUUCCAUAUCACAUAAUGUAUUAUUUGUAAUGAUCCCCAGGUUCUUGUAGUAAUUGCUUCAUUCUUAUUUUUUCCGCAAUCUUUUGAAAAUGUGAAUUGUGUAAUGUGUUCGGAAACUUGGAACAUUACAUAUUGAUCUUGAUGUAUUUAAUGAGAUAUAUACUAAUUUCAGUGGUUUGUUUUCAUGAGAUUGAGAAGCAAAGAAUACUGCUGCUUCUGUAUUCUUUUCUAAGGUUGCUAUCUACGUAUUCAGAUCAUGGUCGUAGAAAUCAUUUUUCGAAACUAAUCAGUUGACCUAUUGAUGCAUGAUCUAUCAAAGAUAGUUCGGUUGACCUAGUGAUUCAUGAUGUAUUGGGAUAUUUUCUGAUAAAUCGAAUUUUUUUUAUCAAAUCAGAAUGUAAUCGGUAAAUCGAUAAAAUAUUUUUCACUAAAUUUUUUUCACUAAUUUGGAGGUUUUGUAGAUAGUACUAUAAUAAUUACUCCCUCUUGUCCUUAUUAUAAGACACCAAGACUUUUUGCACACACUUUUAGGUGCUUUGACCACCUACUUAAAAUUAUUUUUUUUAAAUUUUUCUUUUUCUGAAUUAAAAUAUGUAAUAUAUAUUUUAAUUCAGAAAAAGAAAAUUUUAAAAAAAAUAAUCUUAAGUAGGUGGUCAAAGCACCUAGAAUUAUAUGCAAAAAAUCUUUGUACCUUAUAAUAAGGACUAGAGGGAGUAAGCUAAUUAUAAAAUACUAGCCUUUAACCCGUGCAAAGCACGGACGGUUAUAUAAUUCGUAAUUUAUUAAUUAUAAUUUAAAUCUUAACACCAUAUUAUUAGUAUUUUAGUAUUAAUGAAUUGGAUUUUAAUUAAAUUAUAUUAACCAACUGAUUAUAUCUUCUAACGGAAAUUCGGCUUUCACAAUUUAUUAUAUAUCUAUAAAUAUUUUUCUGAUAUUAAUAUAUGACAGUAUAUUAUUCAAUUAAUUUUAAAUCAAAUUUUUCAUAUUUCAUAUAUCUUCAUAUGGUAUGUAUUGGUUCGUGUUUGUAAAGAAAUAGAACACGUUAGAGUUAAAUUUCGAGUAGAAUACGUUAUAAUUAAAAAGUAGCGUCUCCAAUUAUUUAUAUAUAUUUUAGACAAAAGAUAUUCAAAAUUGUAUAUUUAUAAUUAGUUAUACAUUUAUCUAUAUAAGUAUUUUUUUUUAAAUAUUAGUAUAUGUUAUUAAUAGUGGUUUCACCUUUUUCAACUAAUUAUAAAUUAUAUUUAAAAAGAUAUUAAUAUAUAUAAGGAGUGUUUUUAGUAUAUGUAACUGUUUAAUAGAUAUCUACAUGUUGUAGACUUUUAGUUUUAGAGGAGAGUACCAAACCAAAAUUUUGUACGACUACAAAUUAUACCUAUGUUGGCUUUUUAUAGUAUAGUAUAGAUAUUAAUUAUUUAUAAAUUGCUUAAAUAUAUUUUAAAUGGUGUGAAGAAAUUUAGUUUAUAAAUAAUAAAAUAAAAUUCGAAAUUAUAAUUUGUUUGUAAGUUAGAACUGUGGUAAAUACAUCAUCACAGCCAUUAAUGGCUUCAAAUAAACUAUUGUAAUGAAACCAUUCCUUUUCUCGUAUGUACCCUGCCAAAGUAUUAAAUUCUUUCUAUCAAAUUUUAAUAUAUUUUGAGUGGAAUACGUUAUUGCCAACUCUUAUUAGAUUAUAUUUAUAAAUGUAUUUUAUAUUAGAAUUAUUACAGUGUGAUUUAAAUAGCCCGCAAGGGUUGGUUUAGCUGGUUAAAGAGAGGACAUGUAUCCUCUUGGUCACAGGUUCGACUCCCAAAGAGAUCCGAAGGGUAGCGGUUGCGGGUUCCUAGAUUAAAAAAAAUAAAAAAAUAUAUAAUGUGAUUUAAAAAAUUUAUAUGGUUCUAAAUUAAAAUUGAUAAACAUAAUUUGUUUUUGAAUUAAGAAAAGGACUCAUAAACAUGCAAUAAGAAGGUAGAAUCUAUUUUGGAUUAAGAAAAAGUUUUUGUAUUUGCUAAUCACAUAAAUCCGGCUUAUUAAUUAUAAAAUAUAUUAUAGAGAAAAUUGUGACGGUGAGAUUUAUAUGAUUCUACGAAUAAAACUGGGAGGAAAUAUUUAUUUGGGAUUAUAAAAAUCAUAAAAACGUGAAAGACAGAAUUUGUUUUGGAUUCAGAAAAAGAAUUAUAAAUACGCAAGGUGAUAUCAGUGUCCUUGUAGAACAGAAGUUAAUUUUCCAAUCUAACGGUGCUUAUUUGUUCAAUAUAAGAUCCAACGGAUGAUAAGCUUUUGGACCAGAGGACCAUACGACCAAAUUAUCUCCCUUACGCUUAUUAUAUAUAAGUAUAUAAUAGUAUAGAAAUUUUGUACGACUACAAAUUAUACCCAUGUAUACCCAUGUUGGCUUUUUAUAGGAUAGUAUAGAUAGUAUAGAUUGUGCUGAAAAUGUGCCUAGAAAACAAGAAAAAAGUGGCGAACAAGUGAACAACCGAAGUUACCGAACAAGUACAACCAAACUCGCCCACGACCAACAGCUGGCACACGCAUUUCUGACCGUUACCUAACAUUAAAUUCACAUUUGCUGCGUGAUGCGCGCAAAUAAGUUAUUUUAAAAAUAAAAAAUUAAUCAACACAUACACAUAUAUUUUCAUAAACCAACAAUUUACAGGAAGUGUGACAUUGUCGACUAUCACAAAAACUAGUGAAAAAAGCCGCGCUUCGCGGCGGCAUGAUAAAUUUUGAUAUGAAUUAGAAUUAUAAUAGGAUAAAAAUUAUUUUGAGUCAUCUUCCCAUUAAACAUAUCACAAAUAAAAAAUAUUAUAAUUGAUAUAAAAAUUUGUUUAAGUGAUCAUCCUGUCAAACACAAUACUAAUAAUAAAAUUAGUUCGAACCCCCCUCCCGUCAAAGACAAUAUUAAUCCAUAAUUAUUAUUUUUAUGAUAAAUUAAAUAUUAUAAUUUAGAUCAAAAUUAGUUUGAGCCGCUCUCUUGUCAAACACAAUCUAUACUAUACUAUAAUAAGCCAACAUAGGUAUAAUUUGUAGUCGUACAAAAUUUUGGUUUGGUCAUCUCUUUUGUAACUACAAGUCUGUCACGUGUAAACUUCUCUUACUCUUACAAUACUAUACUAUAAUAAGCCAAUAUAGGUAUAAUUUGUAGUCGUACAAAAUUUUGGUAGCCAACAUAGGUAUAAUUUGUAGUCGUACAAAAUUUUGGUUUGGUCAUCUCUUUUGUAACUACAAGUCUGUCACAUGUAAAUUUCUCUUACUCUUACAAUAUUAAAGAGUUUUAUACCGCUUAAAUUACAAACACUUAGUACAAGAUAAAAACUCCACCAUUAUUCUUUUAAAUAUAAUUUAUAUACUAUAUUAUAAUAAACCGACAUUGGUAUAAUUUGUAGUCAUCUAAAAAAUAUAAUCAGUUGGUAAAUAUAAUCAAGUUAAAAUACAAUUCAUCAAUUCUAAAAUACUAAUAAGAUGAUGCUAAAAUUUAAAUUAUAAUUAAUAAAUUAUGAAUUCUAUACCCGCCCGUGCUUCGCACGGGUUAAAGGCUAGUACUUAUAACAAAACAUUACUCCUAUAAUUUAGAUAUUACUUUGAGUCGUUUUAGUGUCAAACACAAUACUAAUUAAAAUUAUUCUAAUUAUGACAAAAUUAGAGAUUAUUUUGAAUUGUGUAACAAAAAAAUAUAUUAUAACAUAGAUAAAAAUUAUUUUAGCGACUUUACCGUCAAACAUAAUACUAAUAGAAAAUUUAUUAUUAUUUGGAUAAAAAUUAGUUUGGGCCUCCUCCCGUGCCCGUCAAACGAUAUACUAAUCAAGAACCAUUUACAUUAUCAUAAAAUCAAUAUAUGAUACCUAUUUUUUAUAUAUUAUUUUAUUUGUUAAUUAUUUUUAUUUUUUGAUUCCAAUUUAUUAGUUAAAAAUUAUUAUUCUUUUAUAAAAAUUAUUUUAGCGACUUUCCCGUCAAACAUAAUACUAAUAAAAAAUUUAUUAUUAUUUAGAUAAAAAUUAGUUUGGGCCGCCUCCCAUGCCCGUCAAACACAAUANNNNNNNNNNNNNNNNNNNNNNNNNNNNNNNNNNNNNNNNNNNNNNNNNNNNNNNNNNNNNNNNNNNNNNNNNNNNNNNNNNNNNNNNNNNNNNNNNNNNNNNNNNNNNNNNNNNNNNNNNNNNNNNNNNNNNNNNNNNNNNNNNNNNNNNNNNNNNNNNNNNNNNNNNNNNNNNNNNNNNNNNNNNNNNNNNNNNNNNNNNNNNNNNNNNNNNNNNNNNNNNNNNNNNNNNNNNNNNNNNNNNNNNNNNNNNNNNNNNNNNNNNNNNNNNNNNNNNNNNNNNNNNNNNNNNNNNNNNNNNNNNNNNNNNNNNNNNNNNNNNNNNNNNNNNNNNNNNNNNNNNNNNNNNNNNNNNNNNNNNNNNNNNNNNNNNNNNNNNNNNNNNNNNNNNNNNNNNNNNNNNNNNNNNNNNNNNNNNNNNNNNNNNNNNNNNNNNNNNNNNNNNNNNNNNNNNNNNNNNNNNNNNNNNNNNNNNNNNNNNNNNNNNNNNNNNNNNNNNNNNNNNNNNNNNNNNNNNNNNNNNNNNNNNNNNNNNNNNNNNNNNNNNNNNNNNNNNNNNNNNNNNNNNNNNNNNNNNNNNNNNNNNNNNNNNNNNNNNNNNNNNNNNNNNNNNNNNNNNNNNNNNNNNNNNNNNNNNNNNNNNNNNNNNNNNNNNNNNNNNNNNNNNNNNNNNNNNNNNNNNNNNNNNNNNNNNNNNNNNNNNNNNNNNNNNNNNNNNNNNNNNNNNNNNNNNNNNNNNNNNNNNNNNNNNNNNNNNNNNNNNNNNNNNNNNNNNNNNNNNNNNNNNNNNNNNNNNNNNNNNNNNNNNNNNNNNNNNNNNNNNNNNNNNNNNNNNNNNNNNNNNNNNNNNNNNNNNNNNNNNNNNNNNNNNNNNNNNNNNNNNNNNNNNNNNNNNNNNNNNNNNNNNNNNNNNNNNNNNNNNNNNNNNNNNNNNNNNNNNNNNNNNNNNNNNNNNNNNNNNNNNNNNNNNNNNNNNNNNNNNNNNNNNNNNNNNNNNNNNNNNNNNNNNNNNNNNNNNNNNNNNNNNNNNNNNNNNNNNNNNNNNNNNNNNNNNNNNNNNNNNNNNNNNNNNNNNNNNNNNNNNNNNNNNNNNNNNNNNNNNNNNNNNNNNNNNNNNNNNNNNNNNNNNNNNNNNNNNNNNNNNNNNNNNNNNNNNNNNNNNNNNNNNNNNNNNNNNNNNNNNNNNNNNNNNNNNNNNNNNNNNNNNNNNNNNNNNNNNNNNNNNNNNNNNNNNNNNNNNNNNNNNNNNNNNNNNNNNNNNNNNNNNNNNNNNNNNNNNNNNNNNNNNNNNNNNNNNNNNNNNNNNNNNNNNNNNNNNNNNNNNNNNNNNNNNNNNNNNNNNNNNNNNNNNNNNNNNNNNNNNNNNNNNNNNNNNNNNNNNNNNNNNNNNNNNNNNNNNNNNNNNNNNNNNNNNNNNNNNNNNNNNNNNNNNNNNNNNNNNNNNNNNNNNNNNNNNNNNNNNNNNNNNNNNNNNNNNNNNNNNNNNNNNNNNNNNNNNNNNNNNNNNNNNNNNNNNNNNNNNNNNNNNNNNNNNNNNNNNNNNNNNNNNNNNNNNNNNNNNNNNNNNNNNNNNNNNNNNNNNNNNNNNNNNNNNNNNNNNNNNNNNNNNNNNNNNNNNNNNUAUAUAUAUAUAUAUAUAUAUAUAUAUUGAUAGUAGGAUAAUUUCAAAAAUACUCGUUGAUAUAAAAAUAAGCACUUACCUGUUUAUAAUAAAUAAAAUAAAAUAAGUUUUUUUUAUUUGAAGAGAUAAAUAAAAUAGGUUAAUAGCGCAAUACAUAGUCGCACACAAUAUUUUUUCGGGUGUUCACGGAAACAGACUCCCUGCGCGACCUUCCUCGAAGAUAUACGGGGUAUGUUUAGUUUGUUUGGUUUAUAGUCACAUCCACGUGUCUGAUUCCUUGGAUAAAUCCAUGGCUGUCUCAGCAUCCAAUCAUCCAUGUAUAUAAAUACAGGGAAAUGAGUAAAAGAGGGUGGCGCUAGGCGGAGAAAUUGAGGAAUCAAAAUUAAGAGGUCUGGAGUCAUCGCCCAAGGUACAAUCAUACAAUUACACACACCUCUCCAUAUACAUGUGUUCGUGUUUUCAUUUGAUUGCUUGUUUAUUCAUUAUGUCAUUCUAGGGUUUCAAAUCGGGGAUUAAUUUCAUAGGUUUUCUUAUUUUCUUUUUUGCUUAUUUGAUUUACCUCAUGUUUUUUGAUUGUUUGCCGUAUUAUAAUAUUCCUCAAAUAUCGAAUCAAUAUUGUUAUAUCUUGGCUACACGCUAGUAAUCUGUUAAUUUGAAGAUGGUGUAUAGGCUAUAAUGUGAAAUUUAAUCGAGUGCUGGGUGUGGCGAUGAAGAGAGGUUUUAGGGCCUGCCUUUCUUUUAUAUUUCUUUUUCGUUAGCAAUUAGGUGUAGGGCUCAUCAUCCAAUCGGUUCGGGCCAAAACCGAACAAAAAACCGAAUUGUCAAUUUGUUUGGAACCGAACCUGACCGAAUCUAUUUUGUUGAAUACUGUAAAUUGAUACGGGCUUCUAAUGGCAUUAAUAUCUUGGGUUAGGUCAGUUUGGUGAUAUAAGUUCCUAAUAUAGCCUUUUAUAUGGGAUAUUUUUUUUGAGUUGCCUAUAGUUAUUUCUUAAUCUUUAUUUAACAUUCUUUUUGUUUACAUAUGAAUUUGAUUGUUUUUUCAUCUUGUCCACAUGCUUAUUUCUUAAGUCUGUUUAAUUAUUUCUUUUGGGUAUACAGGUUGACGCAGGCCUAUAUUCGAAAGUAAUAAUCUUCUCUAAGACAUGGACAGACCAUGCAUAUGGUCGGACUUCUUCCAAGACUGGGUGUUAAAUUUUCAGGAACUGUGUGAUUGGCGAUUUCUCAUUUUUGGAAACGUAGUUCCUGUUUCCUUUGUCAACUGCACUUAGUAAACUGGCUUUUAAUCAGUACAGGAGGUGUGAUGCAUAUUUCUUUUAGGUUGAGUGUUGAUUCUCUAGCUCACAUAUACGAGUAAGCUAUCUACCAAUUACUUGUUAUAGCAUGAUAUACUGCUUAGCUUCAUCUUAUUGACAUUUGUGUGUCUCAAUGUUGUGGGUGCUAGUGCAUUGCCGUUAAAUAUUGAUUCAAGAUGCUCCAAAAAGCGGGUUAGCAGGUACUUUUGUAAAGCCACUUUUUUCUUGUGGUUUAUUAUAUCAAUCUGUUGAAAUGUUGAAGAUAAUGCUAACUUCUAUAUGAUUUAUCUUCUUUCCAUCACAGGGCUGAAUUCUGCAAAUAUUAGAGUCCGUUGCACUGAGUGUUUCCUAGGGCGAUAACUUAUUCUUCUUCUCAACAGUUACCAGUUAGAACUGCAAUACACAGUCCACUGUAGAUCUGGCAUCAGAUUGAGUACUUUAUAAUGAGUUUUCUGUUAUCAAACCUGUGAUAACUGUUGAUUGUGUUCUAAUCAUGGAGGUUCCAGAUGCUGUCUAGCAUAUUGAGGCAUUCUCUAAACUUCUGUCAAGAUGAUCUGCGUUUCUAUCCUCUUUGCUUUUUGUGUCUGACACUCCCUCAAGGCCAUUAUUUACUAUAUAUCGAGAAUGAAGUGUUGAUGCCUGUCUAUCAAAAGUUCUCUGCUCUAUAGUUCUGUGCUCAUGCCUGGAACAGGAGAGAAUUGAUAGUAAAUUCAGAUAUACGAGUGUGGCUUAUAGGUUACACUAUAUAGGAUUCUUCAAGUAGUUACCUUGUAGGAACAAACCUGAUUUUGUGUAUUUUCUCGUACCUUCCUUUUUAAUAAGAGGUUGACAGCAUCUGAAGUCGCAAGAAUGGAAAGGUGAGCCAUGUCUUGUAUUUACUUGGCGACUUUAACUUUUUGCUCUAGAAUACUUAUACCAACUUUGAAUGAUACAGGUACAAUAUAAUUAAUGAAGUUGGCAAUGGAACAUUUGGAAAUGUCUGGCGAGCUAUGAAUAAGCAGACUGGUGAAGUUGUAAGUGUAUAUUUGGACUGAAUGAACUUCUUUUAGAUUGAUUUGAAAGAAAGCCUUGUGGUGAAGCUGCCAGGGUAUGUAAUAUGUACCGGUUUGUGUUUUCAUUGCUUUAUCCUAAAAGCUUAGUUUUAACAGGUCGCUAUCAAAAAAAUGAAGAGGAAAUACUACUCAUGGGAAGAAUGUAUUAAUUUGAGAGAAGUCAAGGUAGCUAAUUUCAUUUUUUUCUUCACAGCCAGCUUUUUCAUACGAGCAAAUAACAUAGUCUUGUUUAUUGGCAGUCACUUCGGAAAAUGAGCCAUUCCAAUAUUGUGAAGCUCAAGGAAGUAAUCAGAGAAAAGGAUAUUCUGUACUUCGUCUUUGAAUACAUGGUAAUUCGGUUUAUUCCGUUUGCUUCUUCAUGACCAGUUGAGUGACUUUUAAGUUAAAGUAAGAUAUUUUUUUCCAUGUACAGGAAUGCAGUCUCUACGAACUUAUGAAGGAUAGAAGAAAACUCUUCUCAGAAACUGAAGUUAGAAAUUGGUGCUUUCAAGUAUUUCAAGGUCUUGCUUACAUGCAGCAGCGUGGUUAUUUUCACCGGGACCUCAAGCCAGGUUACCAUUUUACUUCAGCGGGUGAACUAGAUUGGGAGUGCUGGAGGCAGUUCAUAGUUUUUUUUUUGAAAUAUGAAUUAAUUUCCUACCCAUUUGAUGUAUAACACAUAAUAGGUUUCAAACAAAUUUUAUGUUAAGACUCACAAUACUAAAACUGCCUCACGCAUGGCAAGUCUCUCAAAGACUUGCAUGAGAAUGACAGUUGUGGGGGAACCUGUAAGGUAUCGGUAUAUUUUAAACGGAUAAAAGGCGUGAAGAGAGGAACAAAAUGGAUAAAUUUUUACUAGUUCUGUAAUAUAUUCCUCCUGGUAUGACAUUUUAUGACAGACAAAAAGUGCUCCGUCCAAAUAAUAGACGAAGAUAGAAAAUGUACAUGGCCAUAAUUUGAGUUUAUUACCCUUGUCCUAUAUAUUGAACAAAAAUUCUAUAAGUGAUAUGGUAAUUAUUUUCUUUGUUUGUAGUUGGUCUUUAUCCGGUAAGCUAAAUUACAGAAAUUUAAAUAUUUGUGCACACAUGCCUCUGCUGAGACUUGAACCCUCAAACUCUUAGUUCUGUUGUUACUAUUGUGCUAGUGUGCUACAUUUAGUGCAAGUGUGUUUGGGCUUGCUUUAGACAACUUAGAUAUUCCAUCAGGACAGGUGAGUUGUGUUUGUAAAAUUGUUGUAAUAUAUUGGUAUAGAGGGAAUGUGGCGAAGUAUGUUGCAUUUGUAAUUGUCAAUGUCAUUCAGAUUCCAGGUGCAUGUAUUUUGUUCCAUUUUUCUUUUUAAUUGCCGGAACUUGUUUCUGACUUUCGUGGAUUCUGCUUAGCUUAUGUCUUUUAUGAGACACUGCUUGCUUAGAUAGGUAGUUAUAAUCUAUUUUGAAAUUUACGAUUUUUAAAUCCUUAACUGGCAGAAAAUUUGCUGGUUUCUAAGGACAUGAUAAAAAUUGCUGAUUUCGGUUUAGCUCGUGAGAUCAAUUCCUUACCACCAUAUACAGAGUAUGUCUCGACGCGCUGGUGAGUAAAUAUUUCCUAAUAAUGGUUCUUUCUAUUGUUAACCCCUUGAUCUUCUUCUUCUUUUUCCUUUUCUUCUUGGGGUGCCUGAGGUUUAAAUAUUUCAGGUACCGGGCACCUGAAGUUUUGCUUAUGUCUCCAGCAUAUGGUUCUGCAGUUGGUAAGUUACAAAUAUAAAAGAAUGUAUUAUCUGCUAAACUGUUAUAAAAGCACAUUUUUGAAGCUUUGCAUUAUAUUUUGCCUUGCUGGACAGAUAUGUGGGCUAUGGGUGCAAUCAUAGCUGAGUUGUUAACUUUGCAUCCCCUUUUUCCAGGUUUAAGGUAUAUUCUUCUCAUUUUGUAUAUUACUCUGCUCACACUACUUGGGUAAUUAAAAUUUUGUUGAAACUGUUUUGCCGACUACCAUUUUCCAGCUGUAAGCCUGUAAAGGAUUUUGUAUUAUCUAUGUUGUAGAAAACAGAUUACAUAUUAAUACUUAAAUAGGCACAACGGCAUCGCUCACAAGAAGCUCCAAGAUUACAGUAAACUUAGUAGAUAACUUUGAUUGCUAAAUUCAUCUAAAAACCACUAAUACUUGUCUAAAACUCCUCGUCGAGAUGGAGCAUAAUAAUCAAGAAUGCCUGAUGUUAUAAAGAUAACUAAUUUGUGAUCGCCCAAAGGUUUAAUGAGUAUAUGAGGAAGUUGUUUGCCUGCUGUCACAUGACAUUUUGAAUAACAGAUUCGAUCUUUUAUCUAUUGAAUUGACAAUUGACUUCAAAAUCAAUAGGUUAUUCAUUGAACUCGAUUGAUGCAAACAACAGAGUGUUAUGAGAACCUUAAGCUCUGAUGACAAAUUCGUCAGCCAAAUCAACUCAUAUGAUCAUGGAACACCAUAUGUUCAUUGUUCAGAUUCUGCACUUGAACAUGGUACUGAAUGUUGCUUCCUACUUGUCCAGGAAACCAGAUUAUUACAAAUAGAGUAUCUGUAGUUCUGCUCUUGUCUAGCGAAUAGGGGACCAGUCAGCAUCAGAAAAACUACGAUUAUCAUUUAUCCAUGAUCUCCAGAUUAAAAAUGAUACCCAGGGGCAAACCAUACUUUUUAGACGCUGUAGAAUUUAAGCAACUGCAUCUCAGUCCCUUUUUUAGGAGAAGAGAAACUGGCCUACACCAGUAAGUAGUGAGGGAAUAUCUGGUCAAAUAGCUGUAAGAUUAGUUACCUACUUAUCUUCUUCAUUAGCCUGGAUUGUCCAGAGUUUAUAGUCGAAGAAAAGAAGAGAAGGUGAGAGAAGAUAAACAAAAAGAAAUUGCAAAAAUUUUCUUUAGUUUGCUCCCUGAGUUUAGUGUAGAGAGAAAGAGAAGAAGAAAAAAUUACAAGUGUGAGAGCUUCACUCCAAAUCAUCCCAUUUUUUGAGAGAAGAUUUUUUAGGGAACUCAUGGAUUUUUUUCUUCAUAUCUUAAUAAAACUGAGGAGCAUGAUUUAGUAAGAAAAAUCUAAAAUUUCUUUUCAAUUCUUCUCUUUUCUCUCAAAUUUUAACUCGGGAACACAAUGCAAGUGACUUUUCUGUUCUUGUUUCUAACCUGGAAGCCCUGUUUUCUCUCGCAAGUUGGAGAUAUGUUUGCUUUGAAUGAGAACUAUUUCCCUGAUCUCAAAUUGUCGUACUAGAUGGGACUUGAGAUUCUAGGCUUGCUGUUAGUCGUUUCCACUAAAUACGGUGCCAUCCGCAUAGACUUCCAAUUUUUUUUUCCACAUUUAAACAUGAUGAAAGGGAUCAUUUUCAAAUCUCUUCUUUCUAAACUUUUUUACUGCUGUGUUGAACUAUCUAGACCAACCUCAUGUUGACUAUUUAAGCCCCUACAGUCUUUUUCAGCUUACAUACCAAUUUUGACCCCCGAGCUUGUAACAGGAUGGUUGCUCCAUUUAAAUGAACUCUUUUUAGUCACCACACAAGAACGUGCCUUCAAGAUUAGCUUGAUGUAAGGGCGAACUUUAUUUUUUUUCUUUUUCUAUCAAUUGGGGUGAUUUUUUUUUUUCUGUCAUGACUACUUGGGACAGUAAUAUUCUGGUUUGCGUCUGGUAAGUAAUUUUUGCUUUCCUGACGACUGGGGACUGGGGACAGACAUAUUCUGGUUUGUUUCUGUGGUAACUGGUAACAGAAUAUCAUUAACUAUUGAUAUGCAGAUUUCUUCUUCUCUUUCUAUUAUCAUCUCCUUGGCAUUCUAACUCAGCACGUUUUGUUUUCAAUCUCUUAUGCAGUGAAGCAGAUGAAAUCUAUAAAAUAUGCAGUGUCAUUGGCAGUCCAACAGAAAUUGAAUGGGCUGAAGGGAUUAAACUAGCAAAUGCUGUCAACUUUCAGUUUCCCAAGGUGAUUUAGAAUAUUGCCUCCCAGUGCUGUAAUGCAGGAUUAUCAUACAGAAACUUUUAUAUCCAAAUCAUUGACAAACUCUAUUACUAUUUACUGGUUACCCAAUGUGAUUUAUAGUUAUUGCCUCCUUGUGCUGUAAUGGGAGGUUAUUAUAUGCACAAAUCAAUAUAUCCAAAUAAUUAAUAUAUCCUUCUGUUUUCUAAUGGCAGCUUGCGGGUGUUCCUCUUUCUUUACUCUUACCAUCUGCUAGCAAGGACGCAAUUAGCCUUAUUACAGUAAGUUGUUCUUAUAUCUAUUGUUUCAUUCCUCCGUUGCUGCCUUUUUCUGAUUCGACUUUGCUAUAUAAUUUGGACUUUCGCAUUGUUCUCAAUAUUUUGCUUUCCUUUGAAACUGUCAGUCCCUGUGUUCUUGGGAUCCUUGCAAGAGGCCAACAGCCUCAGAGGCUCUUCGGCAUCCUUUCUUCCAGGUAAAUCUAUAUAUUUCAUUUCUCCCUUCUUAAGAUAAAAAUUAUUAUAAGCUUGCUUUUGUAGAUUUGAUAUAACUUGCCUCUUUUGGAAUUACUUCAACAGAGUUGCUAUUAUAUUCCGCCAUCCCUUCGCUUCAAACCUGCUAUUGAGAGGAGUCCAUCUGGUAUGUCUCUAUCUUCUCAUUUCACUUUAAAAUAGAAAGAUAUGCAGGGCUCUGAUUUUUUUAAUUUUGUUGCAGGUGGAACUAGAGGUGCUGUGGAGCACAAACACUCGAGAUAUUCAGGGAAUAUGUCAUAUUAUAAACCACAAGGUAUGUUUAUAUGUUAUUUGAAGCACAUGCAUCUUCAUGUAGUGUCAAAGAUAUAUGAUUACACUAAAACUUUGAUAAAUGAAUAACCUCGUCAAUUAGAUAAUUCUUUGGGGUCCUGACAGUGAUAGGAACAAUGAACUGUUAAUCUUGUCAAAUAAAGAAUUUUGUUAAAUAAAUAAAAUUCUCUGGUCCCAUGGGUAAUUUAUGUCUCAUGGUCUAACUAUAUUGUAAUGUCUUCUCCCUGAGUAAAAGAUAAGUGCUCUCCCUCUACUAAUAGUAUGGUGUAAAACAAAUUAUGUCUGUCCUUCAUAUUUUGAAUAAAUAUAAAAUUAUAGCUCUUGUGAACUUGGGUAAAAGGAAGUGUUCAACAUACUCCGGAAUAACUAUUUUGUUGUGGAAAGAUACAUUAUACAUGUAUAUAUAUUGAAAAUUCGGAACAUUCUCAAAUUUCCUAAUAUCAUAUGACCUUCCUUUGUUAUGUAAACCUGGUGUAAAGGUAUACCGUUUCAGUGGUGACCCUAUCUCUUGGGAUGCUCUCCAGUUUUUCCUUUCUAAGUUAUUUUGACUUGUAUUGUUCACAAUUAUUCCCUGACCUGAUUUGACAUUCUUACAGCAGCACAGCGGAAGUUGGAAAUGAAUUAUCAGGUAGAUGGCGUCCUCAAUAUGUGCAUUGGUUAGCCUUGACUUUAUAGUAGACGCGAUGGUGGAUAGUUUCUCUAUUUUAACUUAUUUAAUUAUAUUUUACUAUGGAUUUCAGGGAGCAACUAAGUAUGAUAAAACCUUGAAGAGCACUGCCGUGGAAUCACCACCACGAUACAGACCACCUCUGAGGAAUAGCCCAGGUUAGUUUCUGCGUUUGAAUUUUUUUCUUUCGUUUUAGUUUCCUUAUCGUCUGAGGUAGCUCGCCAUUAUAUACAGCUGAAUGACCCUCUGGACCUUAAAGAAUACUACUGUGUACCCAUCAGCACUUGUACCGUAACCGACAUCUAUACUGGUAUAUAUUGGAGGGGCAAAAACGACAAUUAACCAUCCGAUAUAUACCGUUAUACACCUCUGUUGCGGUACAAGGGUCAGUAAGUAUAUAUUCCGUAUCUUGAGGGCUAAAAGGUACACGGUCAUAAACUUUAAGGGCUAAAAGGUCAAUACGUAACAAAUUUUUUCUUAGAUCAAUAGAGGAAGUAGAAUCGUAGCAUAGCACAAAAUCAACUUUUUUUAUUUUUUAUGCAUUACAACACUAUAAGAGUGAGUGUUAAGGAACCCAGUAACAAAAAGUAUCGUGUGAACAAUCAUCUUUCAUGUUGCACUUGGCGUCUUUUUUUGUUGAAUGUGAAUUGAUUGAUUACAAAGCCCAUCUGAUUGCUUAUGAAGCUGUUCACGGACAAACCAAGGUAAUAAUAAUACUUGAUCACAUAUACCAAGACUCGAAGACAUAUUAUACAACGACCGACAAUUUGGAGGUAGGCAAUAUAUAAAUUUAAAAAACCAGUCAAGCAAUAUAGGUUUCUUAGCAUGCAUAAUUAUGGCACAUCUGAGAAUUUUUUAUGUUUAACUAAUCCAAAUUUAAAGAAUGCUAACUCUAGGGUCAUGUCAUGUCUGCACCGGUUUUAUUAUAUAUUAGAAAACAUUAGUGUUUCGAAUUCAGAAAAACUAAACAUAAUGAUUUGUGAUAUGAAAGCUAUAAUUAUACUGAGAUUACCUAUUUUUCAUAUCUGAGAUAUUUUAUCUCAUGAGGGUUGUGUUAAAAAAGUAUAUAAUUUUGGUGCACUAUAACUAAUGCAAUGGUUACUACUAUAGAUGUGUGGUUAAGUUGGAGUUCACUUCUCUCAACUUCAUUAUCUGUAUAAUUUUAUUAGAAUAAUAAACCUUAAUUAUUAAUGUCUCGACCAAAAGUAUUAUUCUUGGUGAUUAGGUUCGUUAACUCUCCUCUGGAGUAUUGAGACGCAUAAAAAUAAGGUUGAUUUUAUGAUAGGCUACAAUUCUACUUUCUUGAAAGGUCUAAUAAAGAAUUAUAACUUAAUGACUCUUUGCCCUUGAAGUGUAUAACCAUGUACUUUUUAUCCCCCAAGGUAUGAGACGUAUACCUAUUGACCCUUUUACCGCAACAAAAGUGUAUAACGGUAUGUAAUGAAAGGUUGAUUGUCUUGCCCUUCCGUAUAGACGGUAGUCACUGUGUAAGGGCUAAGAGGUAUAUAACACAUACUUUGAGAACUGAAACGAACAGUUGAAACUAUUGGGGCUGAUAGAUACACAGUAAUAUUCUUUAAGGGUUGUACAUUAAGCUUUUGUUUUUUCUAAUUAAUUUUGUUUUUGUAUUAUUCUUUACAUUUUGACUUUUGGCUUGUGCUACAUAUAUAUAAUCAUACGUUAAGAAACACAUAAUUUUGCUGCAGCUGAAAAGUCUUUCACAAUUCACGCAUGGAAGGCACGUGAAGUCUCUAACACGGCUGAGAAGUUGGCAAACAUGACAAUUGGCAAGGACAAAAAGCCUCCUAGGCAACAGAUGCCACCACCAAUGAAAGCUGGGGGAUGGGAUCCCCAGUCUGAUCCAUUUCUUGGCAGAUCUCAGGACUUUAAUCAUGGACGAGCGUAUAGCAGGAAAGUGGCAGGUUGAAAAGAAGCAAUCCAAUUGUUUUAGUGGGUGGAAUGUAACACUAUAACUCUACUUUCAGACUGUUUUUAUUCUUGAAUGUUUUGAUGGCUGUCACUUUUAAAUGUGUUGAAACUAAGCGUGAUAGCGACUUUAAAAAGCUUCAAAUGACUGUCGUAGUGUUUCAACAUUUUUCCAUAUGUAUGGUAACUUUGGUUCUUUACAGAUCUUUGUUGUUUUUCUGUUUUCUUUUUCGUGUGUUCAUGCUAAGAAUUGUUUGACCACCCAGUGUUAAAAAUAAUACAUACUUCCAGAAGUUUUCUAGGAUGGUUGACAAGUUAAUUAUGUGCUCACAAGUUCAGAAAAGUUUGUUUAAGCAUUUGAGUACUACUUACGAAUAUGUCUGGGUUCAUGUAUUUAGUUAAUUAUGUGCAAUGAUAUUUUAUUAGACAGUGUUUCUAGUUUUCAUUUUGGAGAGCUAAUUCUUUCGACCUAAUAUUAAAGUUGUUUGUGCUCUGUUAAUCCUAAGGCACAAAAAUCAUUUAAAGCAGAAAUUCCACAGUUACUAGUGUUUGGAUCCAAUAAAACUUGAAUUAGCUUGGUGGUCUGGAGAAUCUAACUAAACUGACAACUGUCAAUACUAAAAGAUACUUACGUAUUUGAGAACAAGAACUUCAUUCUAAUAAUCAAUAUACGUAUAUAUGGAAGAACUUUUUAUUUACAUGAAAAAUCUUGAACAACUUAGAUACUUUAAUAGUUUUAUAAGAUCUAUUUAUAUGUAAAAGUUGAGAAGUUCAAGAUAAUUAAUCGUAAUCAUUAGCUAUUUCAAUGGAGAAUUAUUUAAAAUUAACAACAAAUAUUAGGAAAGAACUCAAGAAUGUUAAAAAUACCACACUUCGAAUGAAAACGACUAUUACAAGACCAAAUUUUUACAAGCCGAUAUAUGAAAAGUUCAUAUAUCGACUUGUAACUAGAUUUCGAUGUUAUUUGAACAACGCUUUAUUAUUUUAAACCUGAAUUGAAUUAUAGAUUUUUGUGUAAACAAUGUGCAUAGAUUUUAAUUAGUGGAUUCAUGAUCAUAAAAUAUUGGAUAAAUUAUCCUCGUCAAGAUGAUCCAGUUGAGGCUAUAUUUUCGACAUUGGUUCAAUCGUAAUUCAAUAAUAAAACAUAAUUAGAUAUUUUAUCCUCGUGAAGAUAACCUAGUUCAUACUAUUUUUUUAUUUUUUUAUUUUAUAUAUAAUUGAGAGUUAGGUUACUCUUUCAAUCUUGGCUCAGUUAUAAUUUGGAGGAAAUCAUUUGAACUAUAUGUUAAAAUUUUACUACGGUUUCAUAUAGUGAGAAUUUUCCAAUAAAAAAGAUCAAUCUCAUCAAAAUCGAUACAAAUGAACAAAAUAUUGUAUAUUUGUAAAUGCUUUACUAAGAUAAAAUUAGAUUACGAUAUCUUGAUUCAAUCCGGAUCACAUAAAAAAAAUAUUAUGCCAAAUCUAUAAAAUAUCUAAAGUAGGUUGGAUCGCGCUCAAUUGAGAACCAAUUCUUAAAAUAGAACAACUAAGUUUCUGAUGCACAACCUUAUAUUUUUGAUAGAUUUUCAUGAUCUAAACCUAUGCAAUCUAAAUACUUAUCUAUCGGUCUCGUGUAGUGUGCACAAUAUCCGUAGUGUGUUCUCUCAUAUAUUAAAAAACGGAAAAUGCUUGGUGUCGUAAUGUUGUGUACAAAAUUUUAUACGUAAUGAUAUGUUGUGACUUGUGCGUUUUAAUUGGAAUGAGUCUCCUAUAUUCAUAUCAACAACCCAAUUAAAGCAUUUCAUAUCAAUUACAAAAUUAUGUACAAACUUUUUGUACAAUUAUAUGCCCCUAGGCCCUAGCGCUACUAUUAAAACAGUGAGUUUUCAGAAAACACGGAUCUACUCUUUGUUUCUUUUAAGAACAUAUAAAUAAAUGUGACAUGAAAGUUCUUAUUAGCCGCAACGAAAUCUCAUUUUUGAACCACCACGAUGUUAGGGGCCGUUCAUUGAUACCACAUGUCCAAUUUCAUUUGUUCACUUAUCUUGCAACUCCAGACCCAGAAUGCAUAUAUAUGCACAGAGUGAUAAUUAAAUAAAACCCUGUGUUUCAACCUGAUCUCUGCAGAUGAUAAUAUCUCAUGGAACUACAAGAAAUCAGGACUAAAAGUUUCAUAGAUACUUAAAAGGCGCCAGAGGAGAAAAUGGCAUUUUCCUAAAGUCAUGUAUAAAACUUUGACAAAGUUAAAGAGUCUUAAAACUAAAUAAUUGCGGUAGUGAAUACAUAGAUUUAAUCGAAAUUCACCACCUAGAACAAAGUCUGAAAAAGAUUUAAAGUCACCAACACAGCUGAAAUCUGAGGUGAUGAUUGUUCAACUUCAUUCUCCGGGUAUAACACCGCAUGUAAAGGAAAACCGGAAGGAGUCUACUUGCUUUCUCUAGUUAAGUAAAAUUGAUGUAUCGUUUAAAGGUAUUGAGCUUGUAUUCUAUCCCUGUUCUGUUCCCACCACAGCUUUGCAUUCACCUCCCCGAACUUUUCUCGGCUGAUAUCAGUAUAAGAAUGUAGCAUUAGUAUAUCAAACAGAACAAAUAUCAAGAUCUCUGAAAAUAGAAUAUUUGUAUAUGACACUAAAACUGGGAAUUUAAUUCAUAUGACCAUUUAAGCAAUCUCUUAAGACAGAGAACAGAAUAUUUCUUCGUUCUUUGGGGGGAAAAAUAUGUUGCUAUGGUAAACAAUAUAUAGAACAUUAUGUGGUUGACCAUUCAUGAUAUGCAUUCUGAUAGAAUAAUUUUUUAGUAGAGUGUGGACUAGGGUUAAUAUAAAAAUCUUAAAGAUAAUUAUUAGCCUUUUUCAGACUAACUUUAUUUCCUUGACAUGCUGCAUAAAUAAUUAAUGUGGGAUGUCAUUACCUGAAUCUCAUUCUCCGAAGUUCUCUAGUGCCAUCUGCUAAUUGUCUGAUAGUAAUGUAUACACCAGGUUCAUCUUCCUCUAUCCACUCUGAUUCUACAUCACUGGCAUUGCUAAUGGAAACUGAUGCCUCAUCUCGGGAGGAGGUUGUUGUCCGUGAUGCUUCCAUAGAUGAAGCCUCACCUUUUGGCCCAGCACCGCCAUAAUAACUUGAACCAGCAUUGUAGUUUUGGUUGCCUCCUUGUUCUGAGGGAUCUCCAGGGUAAUAACCUCGACUUCCUGUAGGUUUGUAAUAGUUUUUCGGGGUCCACUCUUUGUUCAUCGAUGGAUUCAUAGGGCUUUCUCUGGCUGAUCCAAGUCUUGAAUAAGAAGAAUCUCUCUGCCAUUAAAAGUAAUUCUCUUUAGCGUGACAUGGUAUAUAUAUAGUUAGAGUAAAUCUUCGCGUACAUCCUUAUACACUACUAACUCAUUAAAUUAUAAAAAGGUUAUAUAAUAAAAGUUAUAUAUGUGAUCAUAAAGUAAAUAAAUAAAACAGAAAAAAAAAGAUUUAGGUUAUCAUUUUUGUAAGUGUAUUUUUAAUCUACAGUUAACCUGAAGUGAUGAGAAAUCCUGAAGACUUAGACGUGGGUACAAGUUAGAACUGUUCCUAAAUUAUAGGUAGUGAAUUAGUAGUGCAUAAGGAUGUACGCGAAGAUUUAUUAAUAUAGUUAUAUACAUACGCAGAUUGCUAGACAGUAGAUAGACACAAAAGGCAAAUGUAAUCUGUCCUAACAUAUACACUCCCCCAUCUGCAAAAGCAUGGUGUAUUUACUGAAAGUAAUAAAAGCUGUAGUAUCUAGGAAGCCUGUCGGGAUGUUCUUGGCAUAUAUAGUGGUAUCAACUAAGGAAGGUGCAAACUAUGAUAACUCUCAAAAUAUAACCUCCAGUGCUCAAUAUAAAUUUUCAAAUAGCAUUAAGUUCAUGAAUAUUAGCUGAAUAGACAUCAAGAACUGCUUGUAACAUUGAGGUCAGUGUAUGACCAGUCAUUUAAUAUCAUGGAGAGUGCACUGAAGUCUAAUUAUUAAGACCAAAAAAGUGAAAGUAUGAUAUCAGUUGAGAAGGCAUAAAAUUAACCAAGGGAUGGUUUUCAGAUGAAUAUUCGUCCAAUUAUGUUUAAUAAACAACUAUGACAAACUGCCACAAGCAGUAUAAAAAAAAUAAAAAAGUCAUGCAGCAAGAUGAGUAAAUAAGUUGAUCAAGCCGGCAAGAAAAGAACUUGGUGAAGUAGAAGGUAGAUUACCCCAUCCUCGGAGGCAGAGGGAGUGCCAAAAGCUUGACGAUUAAAUCUUUGGACAUUGUAGAGCUCCAUAAUCCUAUCAUAGUUCUCACCCCACCACCUCUGAGCUUGCCAUUUAUUAAACAUCUCCCGGCUUCAAAUUACAAAAAUGCAUGUGAUGUAAUUAACGCAAAGCUUAUAUAAAUUCAACAAAAUCAUAUAAUCUGUGUCAUACUUGCAUACAAAAAUACAAGUUGAAAGGUAUCUUGUACAACUAAUUCAAGGAGAUCCACUAGGCAGACAACUUCCUCAUUCACUCAUCAGUGUAUGUAUAAAGAUGUGACUGAUCGAUUACAAACUACGUUGUCAUCAGAAAUUAAAACUACAUGAUCAUUUACAUUAAUCACAUCUUGCAUGUUGCAGCUUUCAAGCUGGAAGCACAUGCAUCAAAUUGUACAAGGGCCAAGUUUAAUCCAAGGGAACACGGGCCAGGUUGGGUCUACAGAAAGUAAAGCAAGCACUAUAUUCAUAAUAAUAAAUGGCAAUUACUAGGCCCUCCCACCCUUCUCUUUCAAUAUUUUUUACUGGAUAUCUUAAGAAACAUAUAUUAAACGAAUUCAAUGACUUUUGAUGUACAACAUCACUGUAUACUUUAUAUGGUGCCAGGAGAAAGGUAUUGGUGGGUACUACAUCUUGUGUUUUGUUACAUCUAAAUAUUAAUACAAGUCAUUAAAAUCCAUCAAUUGCACAUGGAAAAUAUUAGAGAUGAGUACCUGAAGCGAAUCCGUUUGAGAUCAUUCCCAUUAUUAGGAAGAGACACAAAAGUAAUCUGAACACCAGGCUCCACUUGCGCUAUCCACUCUUUCGGUUCAUCCUCAUUUUCCAAAAAGACUUCACCAGACUGAGCUGAUUCUGAACCACCUGGGCCCCUUGCUUCUCUAGCAAACCUUGAUUCGAAUCCAUGGGAUGUGUUGUAGCCAGUGCUGGUGAAAUCCCAGGCAGGUGUAGAAUUUGAGCUUCCAGGUUGCAAGUCGGGGUAUGGUACACCUUCUGAAAUGGUAUCAAAAUCAGGGUACGGUCUUUGUCCUUUCCUGAAGCUUGGGGAGAAAGGCUUGCUCUGCUUACUAGAUCCUGAAAUUUUCAAUGCUAUAUCCUUGAUCUGCAAAUAAUUGAACAGAACUAGAAAUUACACAAACAUACAACCAACAGAUAAGCAAGCCUUGAGCAUGUUUAAUACUGAAAUUAACAACUCAGUUCUGAAUCCUGGCAUGGUCAGUGAUUAUCUAACUGUAGCAUCUUUUUCUUAGCAUAUGUAAUGCUUAUAUUGGUAAAUCAUGAAGCUUAUUAUACACUAAAUUGUUAAAGAGAGAUCGAAAAAUUCUGUCCACUUGCAAAAGCGGCAUCUAGAUAUAAUAAUUAAAAUCUUCUCGUUUAAAGCAUGACAAGACCGGAUAUAAAGAAAGCUUCAACUAAGUAUUUGUUCCAGUUUAGAAGUUUCUUGGAUAUAAUUUAUGAGUGCAACUUUUAAUAUUUAAAUCCUCAUACAAGUCACCCUUCCUGGAUCGACUACCUAAAACUCCUAAAGCAUAAUAGAUUUCAGAUCGAAUAAAAUAUGUGUGGCAAGUUUGGAAAUAUAAAACGAAGAUUGUCAUUAAUAUGAUACAUGUAGGUCCUGCAAUAAGUUAACCAAGUUGGCUUUUAGUAGUUUCCAGCUCAAGCUAAUAAUGUAACAAGAAUGGAAGAUAUUGACACCAAAUAAUACAAUAUGCGGGCAAAAGAUACAGACUCAAAAGGUUCAAAUUAUAAUUAGUUAAGAUUUAAGAACAUCUGUAGGUGCUUUGUAUUUUAGUUAGAUAUAGAAAGAAAAGCAAUUAAGUGUUUCACACCCUAACCUCAAUGUUAGACAUGGCCAUGGCCCAAGGGAGCAGGUAAUGAGCUAAAGUCCCCAACAUUGUGGGUCCUUAGGAAAUUGUUUUAUACACUUGGUAUCCUUAUUUCCUGUUUUUUGUCAGCUAAUUAUAAUCCCCAUUAUAAGAAAGAAAUCAUACGAUUAAAUAUAUAAGAGUGGCUGCUUCUGUCUUCUAUAAUGUUGUUCUUUUAUGCAAAAACUAAAAUAAGUGCUUUAAUACAAGUAUAGAAUUAAUUUAAUCAUACUUUAUCAAGUGCAUAUUCCAUAUUCUGCUGAAAAUCUGGUUUCAAUUAUAUUUGUGUUGGUUUACUACAUUUGUAAUACACUAUAGCAAUCUUUAUUCAGAAUCUGUAAGAACUACGUAAGAAAUUUUUUGCAUUAGCUAAACCAAAAUCCAGUGGCACUAGCUAGAAAGACCUUAACUGAAAUAGUAUUUUCUUAUUUAGCCUAUCUUAAAUUUCACUCUUAGAACACAGUAACAGGCCAGUAUUCUACCUUUCCUCCUCCAGGUAAAAUUUUGAAUACUUUAGACCAAAAUUCAAUGGUGGGUCACAUCAAGUACAGUCAGAUAUGUCUUCAAAAUAUAUAGUCUUGUCUUUUCUAAAUCUUCACUUUGGCAUACCAUCACUAUUACUUGCAUACAUUGAAUCGACCAAAGCACCUUCAGUAAUACUCCAAUAUGAUUCAGAAAGGUACACAGAUCUUAGUUAAAAAUCGUGACAAAGAUUUUGCUGCCUACUUAAAAGAAAAGCCAAAAUGCAGAGCCCUGCUGUAAAUUUGCGGAAAUUCUUAAAGCACAAAUGAACUUUUUGUCAAUAAAUUGCCAUUUAUAUAAAUUUAAAUAAUCACUAAUACUCAAACUAUCGAUCCCAAAAAUUGAUAUCUGCUUUGUUACACAAACGGAACUUAUAUCCGCUAGGUUAUGCUUUGUUUUUGUUUUUUUUUGCUAAAUAGGUUAUGCUUUGUUAACGCAAAGGAAAGUGAUGUCCGCGGGGGACUGUUAGGUCACGCUUUGUCAACACAAGUAAAAUUUAACCCCCACAUAUAUGGUUUAUAUUACACAUACAAGAUAACAAUCUUAGGUUUAAGGGAUGAUAUCUCGGAGGUCAAGUUGCCGUCAUUAUAAUUCAAUAGCACGUAAAAUAAAUGUCGAACCCAUAAAAUUAGCUAAAAAAACCAUUGAACCGGAGAACGGACUAUUGUUCACUCUCCAACAGCAAAAAUAUACUCUUAUUUCUGAAAAACAAGAUCAGUCAAACCGUCCCAUAUAUUCCCCAAACACAUGACGGGUACAACUCAGGAAACACUUCAUCAUUAUAGUUCAAUAAUACGUAAAAUAAAUGUCGAACAUUCUAAAAAAUAAGAUUAGUCAAACAGUCUCAUAUAUUCCCGAAACUUAUGACAGGUACAACUCAGGCAUCACAGCAUCACAAACAAAUAGUACUACACAGAUGAAAUUUUUCCAGUCUGCAAAAGAAUGUGUGCUACUUAAAUCUUGUCUUUGUGACCACUAAUAGGCGUGGGGAGAAAAACAUUGGACCCGUUAAUGUUCCUUUUAUUAAAGAUAAUGAACACGAAAAAUCUCAUGAUUAAUCGUAAAGAUUAAAAUUGCAUUCUUUCCAAUGAACUUUUGCUUUAUCAUAAAUGAGCAGAAGAAAGCCCAGCACAUAGGCAUUGCAAAGACCAAAGAAUCAUAGACACACAGAGUGGCGUAAGUAGAUGGACAAAUAACAGCAUGCACAUCCUAGUCUUUCUAGACACAAGUAUGCAUUUCUAUGUAUACAUCUAAGACAUAGGUGGAUGUGGGGCCCAUCCUAAACAUUGCAUGUCACAGUGGGGCUAAGUUUGUUUUUCAUCAACAAGGGAAAUAAAGGAGAAAAAGAAAUAAAAGAGAGAUUUAAAAUAAAAGCGAAAUAUAGAAAGAAUAUAGGGUAGGGGUGAGUAGCAUAGGAUUAGAACCUGCGCCGUCAGGCUUUUGACGGCUUCUUUUGUACUGGGAGUCCCCCUCACGCCUUCAUCUCCUCCCUCAUCUACUUGUUUCGAACAUGUAAUACACGUCAGCAUUUCUCCCCCUUCUGUUCUGUCAAAAAUGCAUUAAAAAAAAUUAGCAAAAAAAAAAAACAAAAAUGCAUAAAAUUAUGUCAGGCCUCUAUGCAGAUUUCACAUUUAUAAUCACAACCGAAUAAAAAAAUAUAUGUGACCAAUAAGUAUCGAAAAAAUGAAAAAAGAAAUUAUCACAUUUGCAUUUAAAAAAAUAUAUCCACAUUAUCAUCUACAUUAUUAUUCACCUAUAUUCAGUAAAAAUGUGGUAUAUCCAGGAGGGUGAGAUGAUAAAUUUUAAUAAAAAAAAUAUGUGUGGAGUGAUGAUUUAAUAAUUUGGUAUUGGAAUUAGGGGAAAAGGGGAGGGGGGUUUGGGGAUUAGAGAAAUUGAAAGGGAAAGGAUGAAAGGGGGAAAAUAUGCAGUUGCUUUAGUGUACAAUGUUGGGACCGAAUUUUGGAAGAAUGAAAUAAAGAAAAAGCGAGAUUAAAAUGCAGAUUUCGAGGGAGCCGAAGUUUCUGACGCAUCAUUAUUCUCCUCCUCCUUUUCUCUCUAUCAUCAACAUUUCUUAACAUCCAACAAUAACACACAUUUAUUUAGCAAACAAAAAAAAUUACAAUCAGAUUAAAAUUAAUAUAACAAGACAGGAUAGUGUAUAGUACUAUAAUUCAAGAAGAGAGGAAAAGAGAAGCAUCUGAAAUCUGUACCAGUACUAUUUGUUGAUGAUAUGAGAUGUAUGUGCAGAGGUGACAAAAAAACACGUUCAUUUAACAUUAUGUGUGUGUAUUUGUACAUGAAAACUAAGUCACCUAACCAAACAGCGACAACUUUCCUUUGCUUCGCUCUUUCUCUUUCCUUAACUAAUGUCCAAAUUACACAACUAGCGCUAAUGUAACUGUAAGUAUCUGUAAUGACUCGAACAUUCAAUCAUAGGAGUACAAUAUAGAACAUACUACUAACUAUGAUUUGUAAAAUUUGUAAAAUCAUACUACUAAUUUGAAUUUAUAAAAAAAAAAUACAAAAAAUCUCGGAGUGAACGAGAAAAUGGAUGAGGUGAAAUGAACAAACUGGACUCAUGAAAACAGAGUACGAGAAUAUAUGAAACAUGUUCAAGUAACUUGACAACUUCAACAAUGCUUUCAACAUGUGUGUCUGUAUGUUUGUAAAAUCUUACCCGAGACUUGGUUUGAGAACUGAUUCUCCAAAUCGCAACUCAAGUUCGCGAAUAUUCCGCAGAGAUCAUACGAGAACUCCGAAUCAAAUGUGUAGAAUAUAUUCGCGCACACUCUCCGUCAUUUAUAACGAUAUAUAAAUUACUGUGAAAAAGUAACAAACUCUUCCGAGAAAAUCGCGGCCGGCGGCGAAUCACCGGCGAGAAAUCCGGUGAGAAAAUAUGAGCGUCUCAGAGUAUAUUAAUAACUGAAUAUCUGAGAGAGUGAAUAAAAAAAGCAGGUGAGAAGGUGUGUAAAUGAUGAAUGGAUAUAUAGAGAGAAGAAAAUGAAGGAGAGGGGAGAUAGAGACAAGAAAAGAGAACAAAGGGUGGGAGUUGUAUUUAUAGGAGGAUGUUAAUUUGGUUCCGUCAAGUUUCUCGUCGUUAUGUAACGGCACUAGUUGCAUACAUACGUGCUGCUGCUGCUGCACUUUUUCUUUAUUUUGGAGUAUUCAUAUGAAUGCAUGUCAUUCCCUUCUUUCUCUUUUGUGAAUACAACUUCAUUCUUUCUUCUUUGUGAAUUCCAAUUUAUUCCAUUUUUGUAUUUGUAUUUAUCCCUUCCGCUUAUUUUUUAUUUUUUUUUUGACAAAUGCAAAAGAUUUCAUUAACUCGAAUAUAAUACAGUCGGGACAAACCCCCAACUGUCGAUACAACCAGGUGGUAAAACAAAUAGCAUUCUAAAAACAAUUAGAUGAUUUGUUUCCUGAUCGUUUAACAGAUAGAAUUCAAUAAUUCUUGAAGCUAAGAACGAAAUCAAAGACAUCCCAAGCGAUCCAAAUUGCAUCAAAAUCUCUGGAAACAGUAACAUCGCAAUUGACCAUAUCACAUAAAAACUAUUGAUAGCCCAAUGUUCAGAAACACCAACCGCAUAAAUCGAGAUCGGAGAAGUGGCACCACAGCUAUCUACAUGCCGGAUACCAGCUAUAGACAUGCCGAAAGUGUAAACCCGUAAAUGAUGAACAAUCUUUGAUUGUGAAAGGUGAGCUCUUGCAAUAAUCACCACCGUCUCAGAUUCGAUACAGUUUUUAUAGAUCACCAAAAAUAUCAAUAAACUCGUUUUCAACUGAUCCAACACGAAAUCAACCCAAUCAUGACUAAACAAAGACAUAACAAACACUCCAAAAGGAGAGACACAAUCACACACUCCAAGAGGAGAGACACACAACACCCAAAAGAUUGGGUUUUAUUGAAAAGAAAUUAACGAGAGUAAAAAUUAAUAAUAAAAGGGUUGGGGCUUUCCACCAGAGAAAACCAGUGGAAGCCCCUCGAUUUACUUGAAAAAAGACAAACCCUAGUAGGAGAGGAAGAGAGGAGAGGCGGCCGGGAGAGGGAUUCCGCUUAUUUGUUUUCCAAGCAAAAUAUAGUGCAUGUUUGGCCGCAGUGGCGGAACCAGAGGGAUGCUAGAGCUUUCUCUAACUUCGAAAAAAUAAUGUAUAAUUUUUUUCCAGCCCCCGCUGAAUUAUUCAUGUCAAUAUAAUUUAAGACACUUAGAGCGACUUCAAGAGAUGCCUAUAACAUGUCGUAAGUCAUAAUUGAGGACAUUUGAUGAAAAAUGUUGAUCCAACAAUAUUUAUAAGGCACCUCAAGUCUUAUUUAUAAGGCACCUCUACUUGCUCUAUCCUAUAUUUUAUAAUAAAUUCUUACACACUCUCUUUUUCUUUGCUUUGGACUUGUUAUUAGUCUAAAGAGCGUCUGAUUAACAAUUAUAUUCAAACAGAUACACUCAACGCACACACUUGACACUACCCUAACUCAAUUUCUCACUGUGAUAAAUUCAUUCACCCGCGACAACCUACUCAUUUGCGCCACACAUGGAGAUGGAGACAUCUGAAAAAGGAAGAGUGAAAAGCCAUGUUACUUGAAAUUGGUUGUUUACGCUUUUUCUCAAAGGUCUACAUCCAUUAUGUGGCGUAAAAAAGUCACUAUUCCAUAAGUCAAUUUUUUUUCGUCGCCGCUUCUUAUUGCUGUAUCUAUGUUAAUGCACUUAGAACAACGUUCUCUUUCGGACCUUUUAACCAAUCAAUACAUGCAACCUAGAAAGAUGAUGCAACCUAGAGAGAUGGUCGUCUCUCUCUGAUGAAUGUGGUAUCGAGGUUCGGUGUUCAAAUUUCAAUCAGUCCCUUAUAAUCUCACUUGCUUUCAAAUUUGAGCCCCCCCUAAAUGUUAUUCCUGGUUCAGCCCCUGUUUGGCCGUCCAUGCUUUCGGCUUUUUUUUAAGAAGUCGGCUUCUACUUUUUUUAACCUGUAUAAACAAUCAGAAGCACUUAUAAAAAAAAUGAGAAUUGUUCCUUUUUUUCAAUACUUUUGUUUUUUUCCAAACACUUUAAUCAUUUAUAAGUCUUGACUCACUUCUAAUUCAUUUUUUUUUAUUUUAACUCACUUUUUAUGAAUGGGUUACUAAUCAUAUGAAUCACCAAAUUGCCCUUGAUAUAUCAAGUUGGUCACAAAACUCAAAACGACCUGAAAUCAGUCACUUAAUCAAGUCAGUUACAUGUAUCUCUAAAUAUGAGUUCAAGAAUUAAAAAUAUUAUUUAUAUAGAUUUACAUAUUAUUCCUGAAUGUUAGCACAACUAAGUAUAAAGUUAUGACUUCUAUUAUUUAUGAUAAUAUAUUUAGAUUUUAUCAAGUUGAUUUAUCAUUUAUUUUUUGUUAUAUAAUCGUAAUAGUGUAAUACCAAUCCUUGCAUGAUGAAACACAGUUUCCAAUCAUUAAAUUUAAAAUUCUGAACUAUAACUUUAACAUUAUUUGUUAUAAGCGCAUGCAUCACGUAUCUAAAUGAUAAUCAUAAAAAUCUUUAUUGCUUAAUGGAUACUCCCUCUGUCCCAUUUAAUUUUAUACGUUUCUUUUUAACUGCUCGACACGCAUUUCAAUGCUCUUAUAUAAAAUAUAGUUCCGUAACUUAUUUUUGAGAUUUUCUUUUUCUGUAUAAAAAUAUAACAUCCAAAUUUUAAUACAAAAAAAAAUUUUAAAAACAAAUUGCACAACUACACCAGGAGUAUUAAAAUCCGUGCCGCGUCCCCGUCCCCAAUCCCCCAUUGUAUACAACUCUGGGGGACGGAGGGAGUAUAAAAUAUAAUUUCUGAGUAUAAAAUAUAAUUUCUAUCACUUGUGUCAGCGAUUAUUGGUUUAUCUGUGGCUAUAAGUUUAAAUCAAAUUCACAUGUUCUAUUAAAUAUUAAUUGAUAUAUGCAUUAACAUAAUCUAAUUAAAAAAUUAAGUAUCUUAAUCAAUUGGAUUUUGCCAAUCAUGUAUCCCCAAUCUAGUGAUUUAUAAGUGUCCGUUAUUUUUUUAAUAUGUUUAAUAAGAAUACUGUUUUGAUAUUUAUAAAUAUUAUCAAGACUUUAUUUAUUGUACACUUCUGAGUUCUGUAUCCAUAUUCUUGUCUUCUUGUUUAACCAUAUUAUUAUUUAUCAAAAUCUUUUACAUAAAUCUUCUUUUCAUAGUCAAUUGUCGAACAUCCAUCUAUGAAUUUUCACACCUUUCUGAAUGUUAGAAAUAAUAUUUAUGACUUUACAAAUAAUAACACCAUGAUCCUAUUCAUAUAGGUAUUUAAAAGCGAAAUAAAAUAUGCUUAAAGUGUAACAAAAAUUUAAUAAUAGUUAAAAUUUUCGUCAUAUAAAUAAUAUUUUCUUUUUAUCUCAAACUAGAUGAACUUGUUAAUUCUGAACAUUAUUUAACGUAAACUGAUCAAUAGAUGCCUAAUUUAUUUAUUUAUCUUGUAAAUUAAAAUAUAAGUAUGAUUUUUUGUUUAUAAAAAAAUUAUAAAUAUAAACUUUUACUCCCUCCAUCUCUUAAUACUUUUCAUGUUUGUUUUUAUCACGUUUGUCAAUAUACAUUCUUGAACGUUAAUAACUUUAAUUUCACAUUAAUAUUAAAUAUAAAAAUUUCACCGUAUUAAAGUACUCAUAAAUACGAAUCUAACAAGAUUACUCAUGACUAUGUUCACUCUUAUGAAUUAAAUGUAAAUUAGUAUUUUGUCUCAUAUUAUGAACAGUCCCGACAUUUCAAAACAGAAAAGUAAAUAAAAUCGGAGGGAGUAAUACACUUUAGAUUGUGUAUGUCAAGUCAAACUAACUCUUCUGCUUUGUGACGAAGGAAAUACACAUAAUUAUCUAUUUUGUUUUAUGAUCGAAAGAGCAUUAACACGACAGUGAUCUUUAUAAAAUGAGUAGUUCCAUAAUUUUUAUUUUUUUAUAUAAACUCUUCCAUACAAGUAGUUGAGUUUGGAAACAUUGGCCAGCCAGUCCUACAAAUACAAAUAUAUGGAUCGGACCAGUAAAGGUGACAGGAGAGACGUUAUGGCGAAUGAACGAAUAUGGUCUAAUCACUAGGGAACAUCAUGGCCCAACAUGUCUAGCAUUACACUAGGCACCACGCCACGUGGCUAGUUCUGAGUGGUGUACUUCCAGAUGACAUGGAUCAGAAGAAAUUUAUUUUGUGAAGCAAAAGAUUUUACAAAUCAAAGCAAUCAAAUCAUGAUUAAGUUGAUUAUUAAUAGUGCUAAUGCUCUUAGCAAUGCUACAUUAGUAGGCUUGGGAAUAUAAAUCUUGAGUGAUUGAUUUGAACUACACAUUAGGUUCUUUAUGUACUAAGAUUCUUCAUGAAUCUCCUUCGUCAGAGAUUCUUGCUCAUUGCUCAUCAUAUUCUACUUAUAAAUAAAACAUUAAAUACGGUCUCAUAGAUACUCCCUCCGUCUCUAAAUACUUUUCAUGUUUGUACUUUUCACGUUUGCCAACACACACUUUUAAUCAUUAAUAUCUUUAAUUUCGUAGUAACAUUAAAUAUAAAAACUUCACUGUAUUAAAGUACUCGUAAAUACGAAUCUAACAAGAUCACUCAUGACUAUAUUUAGUUUUAUACAUUAGAUGUAAAUUAGUAAUUUGUCUCAUGUUAUGAACAGUACCGACAUCCCAAAUAGGAAAAGAAUAAAGAAACGGAGGGAGUACUGAUUUGACAUAAUACAACAGUAAAAUGUACAAAAUCUAAGUUUAAAUUCUAACGCUAUUGGAAGGCGCCCGGUUGGACUACAUACACAUUUUAAAACAAAACUGCACCCAUUUUUUGACUAAUAUAUAUAUUUUUUUAUUGAACAUCAAAAAUUCAGAGUUGUGGAAGGAAGAGUUUUGUUCAAAACUGUUAUAGUAAAAGUUACUUCACGGGCGAGUAUAUAAAAAUUAUCCUUACAUAAACCAAUAAUUGAUUGGUAAAUAAAUUAAUUUGCAGAUCCUAUAUCUAAAUACAUAUUAAAAAUUAUUUUAAAGUGUUUUACAUCGUUGUGUGUGUUCAGAAUUAAUUUCAAAAUAUAAUACAUAAAUUUUGAAGGGUCACAUGGGGUAAAGCAGCUGUUAGAAACUAAUAUACACUGUUACGUCUCAAUUAAAGUUAACGGCUAUUUUUAACGGAUGUGUGGGCCAGGGUUACAAACCAAAAGUUAAAUAAAAUUUAGAGUUACAAACUAUCACGUUUAAAAAUGUAGAAUUUAAUUUGAUAAUGAGCCAAAGUCUAAGGUUAUAAAAUGCAAUAUACUCUUUGGUUUAUAGCACCAUUUUUAACACCCUCGUACCACUUGAUGCAUCAUCAAUCUCUGUCGUGACCAGAGGUGGUGUCAAUCCCUCUCUCCAUUAAAACAUGGAUUAUUGACAAUAUAAAUUCCUAAUUUUUUAUUAUUAUUUUUUGUGCUGUUUUUCCCCUGAUCCCUAUCCCCUGCGCAUCUUCUGUUCUUCUUCCGCUCCAUUAUGCAUUCAUGCACUCUCUUCUCAAUUCUCAUCCAUUCAAAUAUCUGCUCUGCCGAAAGCACCUUGCCUUGCCAGCGUGACAUUAAAACACACCCAUGCACACUCCACGAACCACAAAGUCCGUGUACAACGUACUACUCCAAACACGCAUUAAUAGAUCGUGUCCCAAAUUGACUUAUAAGCUAAAAUCCGGCUGAGACCCGUGACCACACACCACGCCACCACAGUCGUCUCUUAAACAUGAUGCCUCAAAGGGGGCAAGCUCAGAAGCAGAAUUGCACUCGUACUAUUAUUAGUUGGACUUAGAUUUUACAGUGUUAUGUCGGCUGUCAGCAUUUGGAUUGUUGCUAUUUUACUGCUUCCUCUUAAUUCCUUUUUAAGGACUUUAAUCACUCGCUUCUGUCACUUGCUCUUUAUUCAUCUCUUACUAGCCCCCAAGUCUUCCUUUAUGCAUAGUGAGAAAUAAUGCUUCGAAUCAUGAGACACCAACACACCCCAGCUGAUCAGCUUCUUUCUUUUCUUUGGCUUCUAUUCUUUUCAUACGUUUUUAUGUUUAUUUUAUGGCUUGUUGAUCAUGGAUUUCAAAUUGUUUGGAGACUGAUUGAUUGUGCUUCUUUUGUCUGGUUUUUGACCAAUCCGGUCUCUCGCCUAUAAUUAGUAACAUGAAUCUACCUUCAUCUCAGAUGGAAUAGAUAUUUGAGCUGGUGUGGGUAAACUUUAAAAUAAUGGAUUAUGAAGUUAAUUUGUAUUGUCAACUUGAGAAAGCAUUUUAUAUUAUAAAUGAGUUGUGUUAUUAAAAAUAUAAUAAUAAAAUAAUUUUCAAAGAUUGUUUAUUUGGGUAUAGUGUUUUUAUAAAUGUCUAUUAUAUAAAAAUAUUCGACUAAUUCUUAAAAAAUAUUUUACCGAUUACAUUCCAAUUUCACCAUGGAAUUUCACCGAACUUCUUCAAUUUACCGAAAAAAAAAUUUGAUUUAAUAAUCGAUAGAUCACUGAUUAAUUCCGAUUUUUGACUUACGCAAAAUAGAAUAAGUUGUUUAGAAAAGUAAGUCACAACAACUUGUGACCUCAAAUGACUUACUUUUAAUGACUUAAUGUGACAUAAAUAUAUUUUUUACAAUUUAAAAUCGAAAAUAACUCCUCCUAGGGAAACUUGUAAUAAAAUAUGUGGACACUCACUCGUAUACAUCCCAAUUAUUUAUAAGUGCGGAUUUUUGACAAAUGAUAAUUAGCACCGAAGAAGAAAAAUUACACAAUACAACACGAAAUUACCUGCAGCUAAUUAAUACUUGCCAAGGAUCUCCAGGCAGAAGUUAGAAUUAUACGAAGAAGAAAGCCUGAUUAUAACUUUUUUUAAAGGUGCUAUAUAAAACCAAACACCUACGUUUCUUGCAUGUGAACAAACGCGGCGAAGUCAUUAACGAAAACUUGGCAUCAACAAAGGUAAUUAGGGUAGGCAAAGCAUCGAGUCACUACAAUAAAAGCGAAACUGAAAGAGAUUUUAAUAGGGUCACAUGUUUAAUAUAGUCUUUCCACACAGAUCUAUCUACUAGUAAAUUUUCAUGCUCCCUUUAUGAAAAUAAUGGGUUAAGCCACGUGGCACUCACGAAAACGCUGUUUGUUGUGUUCUUUUUAUUGAUUUGGGUAAAGAACAAAACAGUUUCUUUGGCAUGGUGUUUGGGAGAUCUUGUUAAGGAAGAAAAGCAUAGUCAAAGAGUCAUUGGUGAGAAGCAAUCUGAGUGUCGAGCGUCACUUGAGUUCAGUUUGAAACUCCAUGCUUUAACAAACUUUUUCAUAAUUCACAUCAGUACACACUUUAUCCUUUGUCCACUAUGCAGAUUUUGCAUGCACAAGCGUGACCAAUAAUGUGAAUAUCUGGGAUACCUCUGAUACAUGUGUGUGGGUAAUUGAUUAGCAUUGUACCCCCAGCAGAUGAUGCUUAUAUAUGUGUUUUUAGGUUCCGUUUUUCUAUGGUGUGCUUAUGAGAACAUGUUAAGCAUUAAAAUUUAUAAGUUUAUGUGAUUUUGAUUGGCUCUUACUUCUUUAUAAUGGUUGAUCCCCUGACCACACCAAUCAAAAUCCACCAAGCUUAUAGAAUUUGGUGCUUAGCAUAUGCCAUGGAACACACUAGACAAACCCUUUUAGGUUUUUUGAUAUUUUCUGUUAAACAAAAAAAAUCAUGCCAAACAAUUCUUUUAACUAAUUCCAACACAAACAUGUUGAAUGGUAUUUUUUUUUUCCAAGUCCCCAGCUUGCAUAAAAAACUAAUGAUAAUUUUGUUUCUUCCCCAUAUUUCUUGUAACUCAGAAAUAAUCGUAAGUACAUGCGAGAGCAAUCCAGGUUGUCCGAAUCCCAUUUUAGCAAAGAAAAACCUUUAAUUUGAAUUAAACCGGCCCAUAAUCUGAAAUCCAUAGUAAAUUAAAGUACCAAUGUGAAAAUAAAGUUAGCUAAUCCACCCAUUUAUGGUAAUUAUUAAUUAAACAAUUUUUUGUUAAAAGCACGUUACAGGUUUGAGCCUCCAUGCAAGUAUUUCUUUAUUAUUUCCUAGAAGAAAUUAAAAGAGCUAUUUCAUUUAUUCAAAAGAUCAUUCAUUUUCCGAAAACAAUUACUUAUAGAAUAAUUAUAUCUCGUGAGAUAAUAAGUUAUAUUGUUUGUAUACCAUCAAUUAUAGAACAUCUAUAUCUCCUUAGCUACAUUAUUCACAGACUGUGAAUGACAAAUAUUUUGAAGUCAUGUAUUAUUACUUAAAAAAAUAAAUUGACUGUUUAUCACUUAAUUAUCACCUAUAAUUAAGUUUAUAGUAA
rnacentral:lncRNA from 1 species